rnacentral:lncRNA from 1 species
CUGUCCUUCCAGUGAGCACUCAGGGCUGAUUUCCUUAAGAAUGGAUACGUUUGAUCUUCUUGCAGUCCAUGGGACUCUCAAGAGUCUCCUCCAGCACCAUAAUUCAAAAGCAUCAAUUCUUCGACGAUCAGCCUUCAUUAUGGUCCAGCUCUCACUUUCAUACAUCACUACUGGGAAAUCUUGAUGCUAAGAUACUUCUUUGCAAUUACAGAUUGUAGAAGAUAGAACACAAGUCAGUCAAUUUGGCCAAUUCCACCCAUGUGCUCAGUUGUCCUGAUGUUGUCCAGGGGUCCUAUGCAUAUGGGUGAAAACACAUUUAUCUUUUCUAUUGAAAAGAAGUCAUAUGUAAAGCCCUGUAAAUUAAAAAAAGUUUGUGUUCUUGGAAAGUUUCAACAUCUCCCCCCAAAAAAAAUUAAGUGGUUGAAAAUGGCUGUUAAAUAAAUAAAUAAGAACAUCUUUUUGCCCAAAUCAAUCCUUGAUCAUCAAUGCUUGUAUGCUAAACAAUUCACUAUUUCCUUUUAAAGGUGUGAAGCACAUAAGGUCCUAAUUCCAUAGAGCAACAACUUCCCCUCAAAAUGCUCCAGGGCAACUUUAUUCAUUAUGUAUAAGUGAAGUAUUAAAAUAUAAUGGUGUUUAUGAGGCAUGUGUAGAGGUGUGUGUUGAACAGAUUCAAAGAUUCAUCAUGUCUUGUUAUAAGCUAAUGUGCUGGUACUUUCCAAAUUGGAUUUUGCAAAUUUGACAAAACUGCUUUCUCAUUUUCAUUUUAUAAGCUCUGCAAUGAAACGUAUUUAUCUUAUUAUUCCAGGAACUGGAGGUUUCCAAGGUAAUAAAUGACUCCAGUUAUUAGGUUCGUCUGUGUCAUUUUUCUUUUCUUUUCUUUUUAAACAAAAUAUUAUAAAGAUUGCUUGAAACAUGCAUACUUUGCAUCCAAUUAUCAUUUACCCUAUUUCUGGAAUGACUGGACCAACACAGAUCAGUACUUGUAGAUAGAUUGUGGUCAUCUUCCUCUGAAGCCCUUUGCAUGUGUUGUAUCUGACUGAAUAUCUGCAGUGGGAGUUGUGGGAUAGCAUAGCAGUGGCAGUGCAUAAACUUAUUCAGUAUAUUCUCAUCCUUGAAAUACUCUGGGCCAGUCCCAGGAUUUUUUUUCCAGAUGCAAGGACAAGAUGCCUCCAACCCCAUAUACAGAAGCCAGUGUUAUUUCAACACUGGCUGUCCCUACUGCAAAUCUGGGCAAAACCUGCAAAUGGGAUACAGAGUAGGCUAUGUGGUAAACACAGCUCUGUCCUCCAAGGCCUCAAAAGCACUCCCCUGCUGUCAGGAGCGUCCUACAAGCGAGUAGGCAUCCAAUAGAGACAGAUGCCCGACUGGCAUGUUCUCUCCCUCCUGGUCUGUCAUUGGGGAGCUUCAAAAGCUUUAUCCAGCCCGAACAUCACAGUGACUGAUACCUCUGAGAGGUAUCAGCACACUUUAGAAACAGCAGAGUGUUAGCAGUCGGUGUACCAGACUCAGUAGCUCAGCAAUAUUGGCUAAUCUACUUUAUUUACAUAUAAUACACUCGGAGCAUCUUGACUCAGCUCCUUCCUCUUUCUCAUCAGAAAGAGACAAAGGACAAUAGUCCCACAUCAUGGAACACAGUAAUAUAAACAUCCUGUCUCCGUCACUUCCCACUAUGUGGAAUGAAGACAUACAUCAUGAUGUGAUUAAAAACAAUCCCAUGACUGCAAGCACGGGGCAAGAAUCCUAACACCUGCCACCCCAACAUCCUCUGCCUGAGGCAGCUGACUUAUUCUGCAAUAGGACCGACCACAUAAAUCUUGUGAGAUAUGGUAUGAAGGUUCUCUGUGAAUAAAUACUAUUCCACAGAAGUGAUAAUAUAGCCACUAAUGAUUAUAAUCACUGAAAGCCAAUACAAAUCAAUAUGAAACCAAUCAAUAUGUACCAUUUAGGGGGGGUUAUUUUAUUUUAUUUUUAAAAGUAAGCAUUCUGUUGGAAAUAUUUUAUUUUUGGACUAAGAUCUUGAGGAUUUUUUUUUUAAAAGUAAGAUAUGAAAAGUUAACUGCAGUCUUAAUUUAAAGUGUGCAUUGUUUGUUAAUGACAAUCUUCUCUGUUUACUUAGCAAAAUAAUUGAAGAUGUGGUUGGCAAAAUAUGCAAAAGCAAUCAAAUUUGUGCACCUAGCAUGUGUAAUGUCUAAUCAACAAUGACUACUUCAAGCUCAAUGAUUGCUAAGGGAUCUCAAGUGAAAGAAAAAAAUGCAGGUUAUGCAAACUGUACAAGGAUUUAACCUACAAAGAUUCUAAGCACUAAUAAGUGCAACGCCAGUCUUUCAGGUUUACUCACCACAGGGAGCAAUAUAUUUCAAGCAAUUUGUGUCCUGGAUUUUACAUCCAUGUGAAAGCCACCUUGCAGCUGGUUCAAGAUCAAAUGGCAUAAAAAGAAAAAUACAGUGGUACCUCAGUCUAAGAACAGUCCUGUUAACAAACGAUUCGGGCAGCACACUCUGCAAAACCGGAAGUAGGUGUUCCGACUAGUGAACUUUGCCCUGGAAGCUGAAUGGAAGCUGAACGGUAGAAGGGCACCGGUGGCGAGAAGCCUCACUGGGGAAAGCGUGCCUCAGUUUAAGAACGCUUUUGGAGUAAGAACGGACUUCCAGAACGAAUUAAGUUCGUAAACGGAGAUACCACUAUAUAGCACAUUGCCAUUCAAAAAUAGCAAGCUAUGUUGUUUUGUUUUCUGGUACAAGAAGCUCAAACAUAGUACUGAACUUAGAUCAGAAAUAAGACAGUUAUGCUUAAUCCUCGUUGAAAUCAUUGGGAGUUAUUGGUCAUUUGAGUAGGUGAAGUCCUAUGCAUUUCAGAACUUGAUUCCUGCAGGACCUGGCAUAAUUACUUUUCUGGAUGAAAACUAUAUGCAAUUGGUACAGCUAUUUUUUAUAUGUUCAGUAGGUACCCAUAUAAAUAUAGGUUGUUGUCAUCGGUGCCCUGUGAGUGAGAACCACCCAUGCAGCCCUAAAUCUGGUGCUGCUCUGUGAGGGGAAUAGAGGUUUCCUAACAAACCAGCAAACUACAGCUCCCGAGAUUCUUUGUGGGGGGAAUCAUGACUACUGAAAGUGUUAUGAUACAGCUUUAAAUGCAUAGUGGGGAUAGGGUCUGUCUUGGGGUUGGGGAACCUUUGGCUCACCAGAUGUUGCUGGAUUACAACUCCCACCAUCCAUAACACUUGUUGUGCUGGCUGAGACUGAUGCCCCACAGCCUCUGGAGAGCCCAGGAUUCCUCAGCCUUCCUCUAAGCGAUUCCAAGCUUCACACUUAAGUCCAGUGCCAGUCCUCCAGCUCAUGCAGCUGAUCACAUGAGUCCUACUGAAGUAUUUAAUAAUAAUAAUAAUAAUAAUAAUAAUACUUUAUUACUUAUACCCCACCCAUCUGGCCAGGCCUCCCCAGCCACUCUGGGCGGCUUCCAAUAGGAUAUUAAAAACACAAUAAAAGAUCAAACUUUUAAAACUUCCCUAAACAGGGCUGCCUUCAGAUGUCUUCUAAAAGUUUAUUUCCUUGACAUCUGGUGGGAGGGCGUUCCACAGGGCGAGCGCCACUGCCGAAAAGGCCCAGGUAUUAAACCAGGUUUCAUUUCCCAGUUUACAUUUCUUUCCUCCUAAUCCCUUUCCGACUGUGGAAAUGUAGUUUAUAAACUCAGUUGGGCAGAGACCUGUUUUUCCCCACUUGCAUUCGUUCUGCCAGAAAGCACUGCAGCACACUGACAGUCACCGGUGGAGGAAGCCGCUCGGGCACCUGGGGUGAUGCACGCAGGGGUGGGGCGAGCCGCCCAUAGGGGCAGGGCACAUUGCAGGGCCUCCAGAGUCCUGAGGGGGGGAGGCAGCGGAUGGACCAUUUGGGCAGCAUGGAGCCUGCACGCGCCCAAGGCACCCCAUAUAUCCCAGGAGAGACGUGUGGCUCACCCCGUGGUGAGUGCUGCCUGGCAUUCUGUCACCCCCCUCAGUGGUGACACCCAAGGCGGCCCGCACCCACCGCACCCCCUUCCUCCGCCCCUGCUGACGGUGUAAUACAUAUUCAAAUAACCAUAAUGGAUAAAAUGACCACUUUUCACAUACUUUUUACAAGUGUUUCUGACUUCAAGGAGACAGUACUGUCAUAUAAGUUUCUAGAAAAUGGUAACCUAAGUGAGUAUGAAGAAGCCAGUCCUUGCUGUCUAUUUCCAAUGAAAAUUUCACAGCAUGUUAAUACGGUAAAUUUAAUAACAGAAUUCCAUUGAAUGUAAAGAUGGAUCUCAGCACUUAUAUGAGGCUGUGCCUUUCAUUAUUAAAGCAUUAUAAAAUGGAUGAGUUAGAAAAUAGCCUUAUUGAUAGAUAAACAAAAAGACUAAUGGACUGAUGGUUUCUUACAGCUACCCCUUUAGUCAUCUUAUCUGAGAGAUAAUGGACUUAGUUGAGGAAAAGCCAGGUGCAAAAGACUGCAACACACAGCUAAUAUUAAUAUUUAUUUGUCACUUCUUCUUUUUUACUGUGCAUGGUACCCAGAGCCGUUUCUCAGUGACAGCUGAAGCAGACCCCUUGAGAUGUACUUCCAUUUCAUUUCCCAUGUACAGCAAAAUCCUGCUCUGUUUAUAGAUAUAGAAGGCAAAUCUGGAAACUGUGUGUAUCUCUCUGUGUGUGUGCAGUGGAAUCCACUGUGUUUGCGCAUAUUGAUACACUGCAACCCAAGUGCUGGAUCAGAAUGAUUAAGUUCAGAAUAGCUUGCCUAUUCUACGUCUAUGCCCUUGCCUAGGCCUGCCUGUCUAUUUAGCUACACCAAACACACACCAUACAGGCACAUCUUUUUAAAUGUCAUCUGAACGUCCUUUCAGAUCCAGAUUCAGGUCUCCUUAACUUGAUCCUAAUUUAUUUCACAUUUCACAUUAAAUCAGUUCACCUUCCUGAGAGAAUAUUAGAAACACAAAGUAAUGGUUCAUCAUGUUAACUUUUAGGUGCUUUUUCGGAACAUCCUCCCUCGAUUAAAGAUGGUGUAAGAAUCUGCUUUAACAGUUUGGCUUUUUGAUAGAUAAUUGAAUCUUCAGGUGCAGCUCAUCCUGUGCCUCCAUAGCUCUUGCCCUAUCCCACCUGCUUCACCUCUGAAGGCCAGGUAGGGAUGGGGGAAAAAUUCAGUUCAGUUUCCAUUUAAAGGCAGAUCUUCCGAAGUCACACUUUCUAAAGCAAUACGCAGCCUGAGCACAGCAUCCUCUCAAAUGUGCCAUUCUUCAAAUGUUUCAGGGCAGCUCUCCAGCUUGGUAAUGUGUAUUAAAAUGCAUGUAUCAAAAUGUGCAUGAAAUUUAUAUGUUUGCAAACAUAACAUUCAGAAAUUCACUGGAAAAUUGCAUCCAAAAUGUGUACAUUAGCAGAAAUUCACAUUAAAAUGCUAUGAAUUUUCAUCCGCAAACUGUUGUGGAAAUGUGAUAAUAUUUUAUGAUUAGAAUGCUAAGAGAAACUGAAAUUCACCCAUCCCUACUGAAUUCAGUCAAUGUAGAAAAUACUGCAUUAUAUGGAACAGUGUUCUGACUUAUACUAAGGCAGCUUAUUCCUGUGUUCCGGGUGUCCAAUUAUAUUCAAGAGAUCAAAGCAUACACAUUUUACAGUGUGUUUUUCUUUCCUUUACUGACAAGAUUAUUUCUGAGAACCAAAAAUCUUUAGGUUAGAUCAUGCACUGCUAGCUACAGAUCAUCUAGGUGUGUUUAGUUUAAGCCUUGAAGAUGUUGACGGAACAAAGAAACCAGGUCCAUUAGAAUACCCCCCCCCCCAAAAAAAGAAGAAAUGGUUCAAAAUCCUGCCAGUUAAAUGUGGGAGGAAACCUGCAUAAGUAAACAACUGUUUGAAUUCUCAAAUUAAUUGCAUUCCAAUCCCUAACAUGCUUUUGACUCACAGACAAUUUUAUUACAGCAUUUAUUUAUUUUUUAAUAUAUGUCUCUUAGCUUUGUGGACUGAAAUGCCUCUGAUUUUUUAAGAGAACAAUUGGUGUGUUGGGACCCCAGGCAACCUGUUGCAAUACAGGAAUCUCAACUAAAGCAUCCAUGACAGAUGGCCAUCCACUCCAUCUUGCAUGUGGCAAUUCCUUCCACUGCUCCUCUUGCCACAUUUCUAAAAGUUGCCAUCAUUGAUACUAUUUUCUCAACUCUUAAUGGAAUGCUUCAAAGACUUCUCUAGUGAGAUACAGCCUUCCUUUGGAGGAUGCUAUUGCAGUUCCAUAUACUUUGAAACUGCUCGUAUAAUUGUCAUGCCUUCGGAAACAUUUCUUACUGAGCAGCAAUUCCUUUCUCAAAGCCACCCAGAAGCGAACCAAAGUACAUGAAAGUUCCCUUGAUUUCAGCUGAAGAGUAAGCAUGAGUUUAAAUAUCUACCAUUUUAAUCAAUGGGACUUAAAAGGGUUUUCACUUCAUAAUCACGGUAGUGAAGAAAAGAGCUUCACUGAAGCAGUGAAAUAAAAUGUCCUAGCCAUAUUUGGUCUGGAUUAAAGAAACAGUGCAGUGCAACAGUAAAUGGGUAGAAUGGUUCAUAAGUAUCAAUGGAGGAAUGGUAAAGCAGAUUUGCUGACAUUUGUAAAUAAGAGAGAGUACUUAGCACAUCAGAUUAUUGCACCCUGGUCAAAUAUGCCAUUCUUGAAAGUAGAAAUGGGGAAGAAAUUUGCUUUUGUUUGCAUAGAAAUGUGAAACUACUAAACUUGCAUUUCUUCCACCAAUACUGAAAAAAUAGCUAUCCUUCAAAAUUCUCACUUCUUAGAAUUUGGGUGAGGCAGUUCUCCAGCGAAACAAUGUGUACAACAUACAUUCUCCUAUCAGAGAAUGUGCCUAAAAUGCAUAUAUUAGUGCUAACAACAUUCAGAAAAGGCAUUAUAUCUAUAAGUCACCUUGAGUCAGGGGAGAAUGUGGGGAAUAAAUAAAUAUAUGAUAAUCAUUAUAUUUGGGGAAACUACUUCCAAAAAUGUGUGUAUUAGUCACAACUACAUACAAAAAUGUGCUUAGUAGGUAAGAAGUGGAUGGGUUUUCAUAAGCAAUUUGUUAAACAAAAUCAUAAUUUGCUGCAGAAACGUGGAGAACUGAAUUUAAAAUUUAAAAGAGAGAGAGAAACAAAGAGAACCAAAAUUGACAGAACCAUCCAUCCCUAGAGAAGACUGAGGGGAAAACAUGAUACUGCCCUUCAAAUAUGGUAAAGGCAAGACUUGUCUCAUGCUGACCCAGAGUGCUGGGCUGCUUAUAAUGGUCCUAAGUAACAAAUGGGCAGAAUAUCUUGAUGAUAAGAGCAGUUUCUCAAGAAUACAAUUACAGAGAAGAGUAGUGGGAGCUAUGUUACGGGAUAUCUUCUACCUGUCAGCCAUCUUCUUGGGGAUGCUCUAGCUCUUGAUUUCUUGCAUCAAGCAGGGGGUUGUAGAAGGAGUACAAGCCCCCACCUCCAAUCCUGUGAAUAUUGCCUCUUGCCGAAUAUGCACAUUUUGAAACAAAGUUUCAAAUGCAUGAAAAGCAUUCUUGAUCACACCAAGUGGAAAGCGUCCAUGUUAGCAAAAGGAAGUCCAUUGUAUUUGAACAGAAUUCAUACUCAGCAUGGUGUAGAUAAAUGAAAAAGUUUCCAGGGGUGCAAGAGAGUAGCAAAUUCCUUGCUGUACUGUGAGAUAAUAAAGGGAAUUUACAGACAUGAGGAGAUCAAUGUACCUGGAAGACAGACGUUUAAUUUAAAAAACAAAACAUUUUGUUCUUAGCAGCUUCUAGUUGACUGCUGCAUUCUUCUGGAGAACAGUUGAGGUCCAAUGUUAUAUCCAUUCAGAGCCCAAGAAGGAGCCAGAAUCCAAACACUGACAGGCUCAGACUAUAGGAGCCACUGCUGUGAAGGUUUCUGCUAGUGUAAAUUGCUUUCUCAGUUACACUUGGACUCAUGACAUAACACUGUUGGGUGCUUCAUGUCCUGCCACAAGGAGCUAAUUAACUACUGACAUAUCUUCUCUGCCAAAUACUUGUCCUUUCUGUUCUUACUUUGAGUUUCUUGUUAGGGUAAUUUAAAUAUUUUGCAUGUUAAGAAAUCUGACCCAUGCUCCACUGGGACUUGACCUUGCUUUCCUGCAGUUUGUAUCCUACUGUUCUCAAGUCUGGGAGAAAAUACCCUCAAAUAAGCCUCUGGUACCAAUUUGUGAUGCCUUUUAAAAGCUUUUUAUUGAGAGCUGUGUUAAAAAUCACCUUAUGGUCCUGCUUCUCUUCAAAGUAUAUAAGCUGAAUUUCACGAGCCUCUCACCAUAUGUUCUUCUUCAAAGCUCUAAAUUAUACAUCAUUUCUAUUUCUCUGAACUCUUUUAAAUGGAGUUAUAUAGCUAAAGGCAAUGAUGCCCGUUGGAUUCCAUGGGAACUAAGUGCAUUAAAGCAGAAACCAGGAUUGGUCCUGUGUUUCUUAUGUAACCCUCCAACAAUUACCACUGAACGACUUGCAGUACUAUAAGCUGUUAGUGAACUACUGUCGCUAAAAUGGCCUCUGACUGAAAAGUUCGCACUAAACCUAAGUAUAUAUUUUGGUUUGCUCUUUUGUUAGUUUUAAAAGAACAAAAUAAUUUUCACUCUUGAAAACAGAUAUUUUUAAACUGUGUUGUUUUUCAGGUUCUUAAAAGCAAUACAAAAGUAUGACAUUUCUUCUGAAAGGCAUUUAAGACAGAACCCUCCCCACAAAAAGCUUCCCUAGAAAUGAACUAGAAUUGUUGGUAAAUCAUUUCAAUUGUAUUGAAGCAGGAAGCAAUCAUGGGAACUGUGAAACAUCGCUAAACAAGCAAUAGCUUAGGGCCCCACUCUCUUGAGGGCUCCAAAAAAAUUUAAAGGAAGGAAAAACUGGAUGUACAUUUCCAAAAUAUAAGAUAAAAAACUAAUAAAAUAAAACCUUUAUGUGCAAAUGGCUUUAGAUACCUACUGUAUUAGGUCCAUAAAUUACCAUAUAGCAUAUAUUCAACACAAAAAAGUGACAAUUUGUUGUUGACAAAGGACAGCUGGACAUAUAAAGGGCCCCAUUACCUUCAGUAGCUUAGGGCCUCAUCAAACCUAAAUCCAGCCCUGCUAAUACUGAGCAGGAACCAUUGGUCCAUCUAGCUCAGCAGGGUCAAUCGGAAGUGGCUCUCUGCAGUUUCAGCCAGGAGAUUUUCUUAGGUCUACCUGAAGAUACUGGGAAUGGAACCUGGGACAUCCUGAACACAAAACAUGUACCCAGAAGUCUCUUCUCCCAGCACACAUCCUGUGAGCGACUUGAAUUGGCACAACUGGGCCUGUAUAACUCAAUGAACUGGGUUUAACAGCCUCACGAUACAGACAUGAUAGGAAUAUUGCUGACAUCUUUCCAGGACCCAACCAUAACCCCACUGUUGUUGUUACAUCAACUGCUACCAAUGACAGUACUGUACAAAGAGUUGUUCCCUCUGCCCAAACAACAGGGCAGUGAUGUCACACAAGGACACUUAUGGUGUGUGAAAGGACAAGUGGCCAGGGGGACCAUCAGAGGAAAGUGGAUACAAUCCCUUUCCCCCUCCCACCCCCACUCUGUCCACAACCUUUUCCUUGUUGUUAAUACUUUGAGAGAGGUGUUUUGCUGGAGGCAGCUAAGCUGUUGUGUCCUGUUCAGGGAGGCACCAUUGCUCAGGGGUAGAGCUCAUGCUUUUGCAUAGCCAAGUUCUCAAGUUCAAUCCCAGCCAUCUCCUGGUAGCUCUGGGAAAGUCCUUGUCUGAAACCCUGGAGGUCAGUUUAGAUCAGUGGUCCCCAACAUUUUUUUCGCCAUGCCCCACCUAAGCAUCUCUACAAUCCUGACACACACACCCCAGUGACAUAUAAUUAUUAUUGUUCAAAAAGUGAACUCUUAUUCACAUGGAGCAAGUCUAAAAGGCCUGUUAUGUACUAAGCUUAGAUCCUAGAACAAUAGGCAAGUAGGAUCCUAGAAUGCAACAACUGAUUCGCCUGCAGAAAAAGACCAAUCAGGCUCCAGGAGGGAAGCAGAAUCAAGCCAAUCAGACGGGACUCAUUGUGUACAUAAUGUAUAUAAAAGCCUGAGCUUUGGUGGGGCAAAUGAAUCACUGUUUUACAAACUGCAAUAAAGAGCAUGAAAUCACUACAGGACUCUGAGUAUAUUUCAAGGCCAUUAACUGUUAAUAACUCAUUCUAGAAUUACCCCCUUAAAAAUCAAAUUGUCCCCCUGUGGGGUGUGUUCCCCUCGAUGGGAACCAUGGAUUUAGACAAUACUGAGCUUGAUGGCCCUGAUGUUCUGAUUUGGCUUUGAGUAAAGCAGGUCCCUGUCUUCAUGUAUUUCUCUGUGUGCUUCAUCAGAGACUAUUUCAACAUAAGAGAACACUUUGUGAGAUAUUUUAAGUUUUUUAAAAACACUUUAGAAUAAAAUGGGUGACAGGUGACUAACAGGCCUUAAUUUAAAACCAACUAUUUAAAAUGGAAGGGGGUGAUUAUUACCAUUGUUGAGCUGAUAAAUGCAGCUUGCUUCAGCCUGUGCAAUCCUAGCAGUACAAUUGAAGUGGAAAUGUCUUCCGCUGGAAGAAACGGUAUGAAACCAUCAGCUUCUGAAGUCUGCCUUGCAAAGCAUGUGAAGUUUAGAUAAGCACGCUGGUUUUCAGAUGCUUAGCUAAGCGUGACCUUUAAUAGUUGGAAUUGCCAUAUUUCGUAUGGCGGGUAUUGCUCAGAUCCUUCCCUCUGCCAACAAGCUUUCAACUCACCUCAGAUAAGAAAGCAUCUUAAACGGCUCAUACUGAAAGGAAAGCAGACAGGUGCAGUGACAGCAGGACCCUUGUUUUUUGACAUUAUGUAGGUGGUAGAGGAGCUGUUUGCGACAGAUUGCAGGACGAGGAGGAAGUGACACAAACAUCCUGUUCUCAAUUUCACAGAAAGAGAAACAGAAAACAACAGCCGAGCUCAAUUUGUGAGCUCACAGUUGGUUUGCUCUCUCGGGCAUCAUCUACCUUUGACUCAUGCACAAGUGCUUGACAAUCUGUCUAUCUCUCAUAUCUGUACAAAAGCCAUACGAGUUCAUUCACGAUUAUUCCCAUUUUACAGAUGGGGAAUUUAAUCUGAGGAACACUGGCUACAAUUCAAGGGACUGGAAGUGGGACAAGGAAUGUCAUUUGUCUUCUGUCCAUGUCUGGAUGUACAAAACUCUGCAAGCAAAGCACACAAUAAGCAGUAUGAUAGAGAAGCCAAUGAGGCAGUUUGUUUACAAGAACUUCUGUUGCUCUGUUUUUCUGUCCACUAUCUAUGUUUGGAUAAUUCGAGGUGCUUUGUUGACUCAGAGCGAUUCACUUUGCUGCCACCUAACUGCAAAACCAGCUGCAAGUGAUGCCAAACAGUCUUUUCCAAGUAUACAACAGGUCUUAUAUUAAACUAGUUUUGAAAACUAUGUUUAAUCCUCUCAGCAGUUGAUUCUUUCUCUACUCGAUGCUCCUCACUCUGACUUUGUGGUAAACCCCUACUACUAUGUUGAGGAAAUGAUUAAUUAAAAGAGAGCGCCCAUUCAGUGUGAACUUCUGAGUAUAUAAGAAAAGACCACACGACCUAUUCACAGUUUAUUAAUCUAUAAAUAAGAUGAAUAUGGCAUGGAAAGUACAAAAAGUGAUGCAGCAAGGGACUUAAAACUGAGCAGUCUCAGCUUGGCUAAGGUAAAUCUCUGAAGCAAACAAAAUAUACACAGUAACUAAAUGCAAAAAGAUUACAUCAGUUGAAUAUGACAGAAGAACACAGCCAGCAAUACAAAGUGGUUUUUUAUCUGUAUUUUUAUCUUUUUGUUUUUAUAUUGUUUUAAUUCUACUAUAUUUAAAUUACUUUUUAACUAUUAUUAACUAUUAAUUACUUUUUAACUAUUUAUAACUAUAUGUUUUUGGGAAAAGAGGGAUAUAAAUAAAUACAACAGCAGCAGCAGCAACAACAACAACAACAACAACAACAAAUAUUCAUCUAGAUUCUGUUUCUCAGCUUUCCAUAGGUAUCUGGUUGGCCACUGUGGAAACAGGUUGUGGAGAUAGAUGGGCCUUGAUUUGCUGAAGCAAGACAUUUCUUAUGCACUUGGGUGAUAGAUGCUGCACAGGGAAGUUGGUCAUUUAUUCAGACUUACAGCUGUCUUCUCAUCUGUAAAUGUUGGCAGGUGAUUCAGCACAGGCAAAAGGAAGUACUUGGAAAUUACUUUAAUGAGCCUUACUUCUGCACAGAUAUGGCUAGGAUUGCAACCUUAACCGCUAUAGGCUACACCAGCUUUCUAGGAAUUUUGUUUGUUGUUUUUGUCAAAGCAUAAAUUGUGAAGCAUCAUGCAAUUUAGGACCAAACUCUGGGGUCUAUUUUGGGGUGCGUCUUUUAAAAAUGAUGGUGGCAGAAAAUGUUUUUUGUAAAAAAAAGCUAUAAUUGUUCUGUAAAAGAAAAAGCAAUAUGGUUGACAAUAAGUUUGCUUACAUCUGAUUUUGUGUUGCCAUACCCCUGAAAUGCCACCCGGAGCACUAUUUGGUGGAAAGGUGGGACAGAAAUUCAACGAGUGAAUAGAUAAACUUCAAAGCAGUGCAUAAUCAACAACUGUUAACUAAGUUCCAAUUGAAAGUCCCAAUUGGUAAAAGGAAUUCUGCAGACCUAGGGACACAGGUAGCGCUGUGGGUUAAACCACAGAGCCUAGGACUUGCUGAUCAGAAGGUUGGCGGUUUGAAUCCCCACGACGGGGUGAGCUCCUGUUCCUCGGUCCCAGCUUCUGCCAACCUAGCAGUUCAAAAGCACGUCAAAGUGCAAGUAGAUAAAUAGGUACCGCUCCGGCAGGAAGGUAAAAGGUGUUUCUGUGCACUGCUCUGGUUCUCCAGAAGCGGCUUAGUCAUGCUGGCCACAUGACCCGGAAGCUGUCUGCGGACAAACGCCGGCUCCCUCGGCCAAUAAAGCGAGAUGAGUGCCGCAACCCCAGAGUCGGCCACGACUGGACCUAAUGGUCAGGGGUCCCUUUACCUUUACCUUAUUCUGCAGACCUAAAGAGGUUUGCUCAAGUAUACAGUUUUGCAGGUCCACAUUGACAGAAUUAAAGGUGAACAUGUAACAAAGCUGCAAAAUCUAAGCAUCUUCAGAAAGCUAUCAUAGUCCUUGCGUUUAGCACUGCCUGGUAAAGUACUCAGCCCAGUCUAGCUUCGUGCAGUCUUGCAAUUUAAGGGGAGUUAGAACAAAAAAGGGACACGGGAGGCAUUGUGGUCUAAACCACUGAGCCUCUUGGACUUGCCAAUCAGAAGGUUGGCAGUUUGAAUCCCUGCACCGAGGUGAGCUCCCCUUGCUCGGUCCCAGCUCCUGUCAACCUACCAGUUCGAAAGCACCCCCCCCCCCAAAAAAGUGCAAGCAGAUAAAUAGGUACCACUCCAGUGGGAAGGUAAACAGCGUUCCAUGUGCUGCUCUGGCUUUGCCGGAAGUGGCUUAGUCAUGCUGGCCACAUGACCCGGAAAAACUGUCUGUGGAAGCGGACAAACACUGGCUCCCUCUGCCUGUAAAGUGAGAUGAGCGCUGCCACCCCUGAGUUGUCUGCGACUGGACCUAACUGUCGGGGGUCCUUUACCUUUUUUAGAACAAUAAAUUAAAACAACAAAACGGAGCACUAAAAGGAAUAAAAAAGUAAAAUCGAAGAGGGAAUAAAAACAGGUACUGUACUAAGAAUUGGUUAUAGAACAGAGACUUGCAUUAGAGUUGGCCUUAGAACUCUAAACCCUGCUCCAAGCACUCAGCAGCCAUCUUCUAAGAUUCUGUUUGCAUAAGCACAGCUCUGCUUCAGUUUAUUUUCAUUGCUGCUUUCAUUGUGGUAAAAUGAGCCAUUUCACAGGGAGGACGUACUAAGAAAGAGUGGAUGGACCAUAUUAAAAUAGCUAUACUUAUACUUUAAUUUAAAAUAUUUGUAGCAUUCAUAUAGCUCUAGUUUAAGACCUGAAAAUACUUUUAUUAUUGCUUUAAUUUGAGUGAAAGACAAGGUGACUAGUUCAACUUCUGCUAUAACCAGAUAGGUAAUUCCCCAUGAAGUGCUCUGCAGGAGGCUGAGGUGCCAGCGGUUCUCCAUUUGCAAAAUGAGGAAGUUAUACUUAAUUACCUUCUUCCCAGGAAGUUGUCAGAAUUGUCAGAAUUGGCUCGAACAUGUCAUUUUUUUUUUCAUUUUUUUAAAAAAAUCUUCCAUUAUUGCCAUCUCUUGAGGAAGUACAAAAGAUUUAACAUCAUAGAAGUGUUAAUAGAGGCUUUCAUUCAACAGCUGUUUACUGAAAUAUUACGUGCUAUUGAUCUUAAGUAAGUGUUUACUCAUGAGGAGAAAUUAGUCAUGCUGCAUUAUGUUGUGAUUAAUGUGAUUUGACUGGUGUGCGUUCAUAAAUGCCACCAAUUCUGCACACUUACAUGAAGGCUUAGGAAAUAUGCCAGCUGACACUUUGAACUGCUGAUUUUGGAGACUGCCUGGUCAACGUGUAGCUGAGCAGCAGUGAACAGAAACCAAAUCGUUUGAGAAAAGCUUGAAUGAACAAGCUGUAUAUAUCUGAAACGAAAGGGGGGGAAUGAGGGAAUACCUUGAAGGUGCAGGAUGUGGGUGGUGCUGUGGGUUAAGCCACAGAGCCUAGGACAUGCUGAUCAGAAGGUCAGCAGUUCGAAUCCCCACGAUGGGGUGAGCUCCCGUUGCUCGGUCCCUGCUCCUGCCAACCUAGCAGUUCGAAUGCACAUCAAAGUGCAAGUAGAUAAAUAGUACCGCUCUGGCGGGAAGGUAAAUGGCGUUUCUGUGCGCUGCUCUGGUUCACCAGAAGCAGCUUAGUCAUGCUGCCCACAUGACCCAGAAGUUGUAUGCUGGCUCCCUCGGCCAAUAAAGUGAAAUAAGCACCGCAACCCCAGAGUCGAUCACGACUGGACCCAAUGGUCAGGGGUCCCUUUACCUUUACCUAUGCUGAAUUUAAUGGGAUAGUGGUUGGACAUUGAAGCUACUGAGAAAAGGGUGGAAGAACAUGGUAGAUAUCAGAACAAACUUCUUAGUUAUAUGAACACCUCAACAACAGAGAAAACUCUCUAGGGAGACCGAAUCUCCUUCCUUGGAACUUUUUAGGGAAGUGUUGUACUUGCAUCUGCCAAGGAUUACUGAAGUGGAGAAUACAUUUAAAAAAUAAUAAUAAGGUCAAUAAGGUCUUUGUUCCAAGUAGCUCUGUGGGCCAGUUUAUAAAGAAAAUGCAUAUGUGAAAAACUCACAUUCACAGACAAAUGUUAACAUAUAACCCAGGGAAUUAUGUGUAUGGAUGCAACAAUUUCUAUUCUUGUGGUGGCCAUUUUUCUAGCCUCUAAAGUCCCAGGAAUUUCCCCUUGGCCAUAUUUGUCCCUGUUUGCUGUACACACUACACUUCUUGACGCAAACACAUGCAUGAGUCUGCAUAUAAGUAAGCCUCGAAAUACAGAAGCUAGAGCCCUCUGAUGACAACAAAAACCCUCCUACUAUUAUUAUUACUGCAGCUGCUUGCUAGUUUUAUUUAAGAAGUACUGCAAAAUUAUGCAACUCAAUGUAACCUCUCAAAUGUAGUAUUUUUAUUUUAUUUUAUUUUAUUUUAUUUUAUUUUGUAUUCCUGUAAAUGGGCCAUUGCCAGUAAGCCAGACAGUACUCUUUGGCCCAGAUGCCAUUGAUCACUGCUACAGAAUCCAGCAAAAUGUAAAGAUCAAAUAAAAAAUGAUUGCACUAAAAAUAAAGGAAAGUAAAACAAAUCCUCUAUUCAAAGUAGUUCAACAUAAUAAAACAGAAGUAUUAAUUAUGAAACCAAAUGAAAUGUUAUGGAACAUAUACAGAAAGGCCACUCUAGAGGCCAAGGUCAUAAAACACUGUAUUUAUUCCUUAUUUAUAACAUUUGCGUCUUACCCUUCUUUUAAAGUGCUUAGGGUAGUGUAAGUAAAUUUGUCACCAUGUUAUCCUCAGAAAGAUUUUCUUUCCCAAAUUAAUUAAUCUGCUGAGUGUUACAACUGAACAGGAGUUCUUUGAACCCCAUGCUAGAAACAAAAUGCUGGCAGCAAUGUCCAUAAUUACCCCAGUAUUAGAUGCUUUGUCUCUUUAAUAUACAGUUCUGUCUCAGACACUAUAAUAACAGUAAUAUUUCUGUGCCUCAAGCAGAAAAUAUAAAAUGUGCUACCCAUUGUUGUAAAGGGAUAAUAAUAAACAACAAAAUGGCAGUUUGCUACUUUUAAUGGUACCACCAAAUAUGUCCCCUAAGGCAGGGUUUUUCACCUUUGUCACAUGUCUGGGAGAGUAAAAAAACCCCUCAAACCUUUCACUCAAACCGUAUCUUAUCACCUUAAAAAUAAUGUGAAUAAGUCCUUGCAAGAGCUCACAGGCAGAUAGACUUUGCGAAGUAUGGAAUGUAUUUAUUGCUCAACUCUUAAUGAAGCCCCUAAUUGGUAUAAUUGUUGUGGUCCAGAUUUCCCCUAAUUAUUGGCCUCGUGGCAGCCAUUACUAAUUAAUAAUAUGUAAUAAACCUGUACAUUAUGUACAACAGUUCUUUUGGGAUUCAUUUUGUAACAUGUCACUGAAACUUACAUUUAUGAAAUAGAUGGCCUUUCCCAAUAGAAUAUUUCUUGUUCUCUCUCCUGUUUCACUCUAUACCAGAUGCUCCUACCCUUAAAUGAGUAAAGUGCUGUCAUCUCCACAUAUAGAAUGAUUUUCCCCUCGUCAUAUUACAAGAAUCACUUUCAAGUUCACAUAUAACAUUAUUUUAUCCAGAGAUGAAACAUAGUCUAGCACUUAAUAGGGACUAAGAAUAGAGAUUCUAUUCUUGAUUCUGCACAGAUUUGAUGUGAGAUCUUCAAAUGCUUAACAUAGACCUUCUCAUUUCCUGGUUUGCCAAAGGGAUAAUUGUUCAUUAUUCAUGUUCCAAGACUCAGUAGGAAAUGCACUGUAGACAGAUAUGAGGACAGACUAGUAUACAAAGAGAGAGAGAUUGGAUUGAGGAGAAUUAUUCAAGAUUGUUGAAAGACUGCAAUUCAGUGUGUAAACUGAUGCAUAUUGGAGCAAAAAAGAUCUAAAUUUCACACACACACACACACACACACACACACACACGAGGACCUGAAUUGGCAAUGACUAAAUUUCAAGAAUCGGUCCUUGGAGUGAUUAUCUCAGAAAUGUUGACCCAGUGUGUGGCAGUUUUACCAAAAAAGGCAUCAGGGACCAUCAGGAAAGGGAAUAAAAAUUAAACUUCCAAUAUCAUAAUGACAUUAUACAAAUCUAUAGUGCAACUGUAAUUGGUAUACUGUGUGCAGUUCUGCUCACCUGAAACAGGAUGCUGUAAAGCUGGGAGGUUCACAGAAGCACAAUUAAUAUGGUCAAGGGGGUGGUGCAACUCCCCUAUGAGGAAAGUUUUGACAUUUGGGGCAUUUAGGUUAGAGCAAAGGUGAGUAAAAUUAAGUGUGAUGUGGAGGAGGAUGUGGGUAAGAAUACGUUUCUCUGUCUGAAUAUUAGAACUCAGGGACAUCCAAUGAAGCUGAAUGUUGGAAGACUUGGAACUCAGAAUGUUGGAAGGAAGUACUUGUUUACACAGAGCAUUGCUAAGCUAUGGAGUUUGUUUGAAUAAAAGAGAAUGAGAGAAAUUCGUGGAGGUUCAUGCUAUCAGUGGCUACUGGGAACAAUGUUCUACCUCCACUGGCAGAGGCAGUAUGCCUUUGAAUGCCAGUUGCUGGGAAUCACAGGUGGGCAGAGCACUGUUGCACUCAGGUUCUGCUUUCAGGCGCUCCCAUGGACAUCUGUGAGAACAGAGUCCUGGACUAGAUGGGCCCUUGGACUGAUGCAACAGGGCCCUUGUUAGGUUCUUAAGUGCAUAUUCAGUUUUCAGUUAGAGACUUCAAUAAUAAUACAUAUAGCAGUUUUCUACAUUGGUCACAGAUUUCUACGUACAUGUUCUCAGUAAUCCUUCCAUGAAUUCUGACACUACCCCCCCUCCCCACUACAGUGGUACCUCGGGUUAAGUACUUAAUUCGUUCCGGAGGUCCGUUCUUAACCUGAAACUGUUCUUAACCUGAAGCACCACUUUAGCUAAUGGGGCCUGCCGCUGCGCCGCCGAUGGAUGAUUUCUGUUCUCAUCCUGAAGCAAAGUUCUUAACCCGAGUAGUACCACUGUACUACUACUACCACUACUACUUCUAAUUUUAUUGUUUAUACCCCGCCCAUCUGGCAGGGUUUCCCAAGUCAGGCUGGGCAGCUUCCAGCAAAAUAUAAAAAAUAAUAAAAUGUCAGACAUUAAAAACUUCCCUGAACAGGGCUGUUGUUUUCUAAAAGGAUGUUUUCUAAAAGUUUGUAAUUCUUUAUCUCCCUGAUAUCUGAUGGGAAGGUGUUCCAUAAGGAGGGCACCACUGCUGAGAAGGCCCUCUGCUUUCUACAAAUGAUGGAGCUUUGGCACUUGCCUAAAUUCACCUUGUGAGUUCAUGCUUAAAUGGAGAUUGAAUCAGGGAUUUAUACCUCUUAACUACUAUACAAACAACAACAACAACAACAACAACCAGAAGCUGGUUGCAUUUAAAUUAGCAGUAUAUUUUAUUUAUUUCUUCUUUGGGAGAUAAAGGGCUACUUUAGAGAAGGGUAGGAGGAGGCAAUGCUUACUAGUACUGUUCCAGAACCUGACCUCCAGUUUCCUGAAAUAGGUAUUCCUCCCCAAGGAGGCUUCCAUGUGUUUGCCUCAUGCAUGGAAUUUCUUUAAGAUCAACCCCAUGCCUAUCAAAAUUAUAUUGUAUUGCUUCAAAGUGGCUGAGGGUGGUGUCUGUUUCUUUUCAUUAAAGAUUUAACUAGUAUUCUACCCAGCUACUCAGAUCUGAAAAAGCCCAUAGAAAUAAUUACAUCAUGAUGUCUUUGAUCAAAACAGAGAGAGUGACUACUGAGUGUCUGCGAAUCUCUGUUUUUCUUGUGUUAUGAUCACUUGAAGGCUUCAUGCGCCAGGGUUGAGAAACGACCCCAACCAUAUUAAAUAGAUUCAUAUUUUGAUGAAAGGUAUCUCUUGUCAAAUGGGCAAUCUUUCGUGUGUGUGUGUGUGUGUGUGUCUAUAAACAGAACCUACAAACCCCAUGAAGAUUCUGCUCAUUCCUACAUGAACUUCUUUUUUGACUAUCCUUCAUUGAUUAAAGAGAAACAAAAUUUCAUUUGAAAAUUUUCGAAGGAGGGCGGAAACCUUUUGGUGAAAUUCUCUAUGGUAUUCUACAUAUGGUUUGUGUGUUGUACUCACCUCACUUUUGCCAGGUGUUAAUUCAACAAUCCACCUCAUCAGCGGUCAGCACUCUGCAGCCUUCACAGUGCCUACAAUUCCUGAAAACCCCAUUGCAUCCUUGUCUGGGCUUUUCUUCAAGAAAGACAGGGGUCCUGUGUCUGCUAUGUACCUUAGAACUCUUGAAAGAAAUCUUUUGUACUUAAAAAAAUCAUUAGAUUAAUAUUGAAGUGUGAAAAUAAUCUCUUAGAAAUGAAAGUACUGGUAAACAUAGUAGGAUUGGACUAAGCGACUUUCUAUAGAUGUAUUAUAUUUUGCUGUAGAAGGAUACAGUUCCUUUCACACAGCAUCCCCCAUGCUUUGUAGAUAUAUUAAGAAGGAAAUAAAGCUAGCCUUCGUUGAAUGAAAUGAUAAGGAAGAACAGUUCUAUGUUAACAUAUUUUCUGUCCUGUCUCUUGGGAGAAAGCACUUGAAAAUAACCAUCUGUUUAAAUAACAAAAAGGUCUAACUGGAAAAGCAAGAGCAUUUAGCUUCUGAACUUUUAAUUUUUCUCAAAUGGGAGAUACUGCAUAUCUAGAGUGUGGCUUGUUUCUCUUUGUCAAUAGGAAAUGAAUGCUUGGAUGGAUGACACUUUCACCCCUCAUAGAGAAAAAUCCCACAGAAUAAACUAAGACAAAAGCAGCAGCAGCAACACCCCAAACCAGCUCCCGUAUUUUUUAGGCACUGAAAUGAAACACAACUGUGCCAAAUUAUCAUAUAAGACUGGGAGCUUUCUCAACAAUAAUAUGUGCUAAAACAGCAGUGCAAACAUUCUUGUUUUGAAUUCAUUUGGCUAAUUGGUCCCCUUUGAAAAGCAGCUAUACAACAUGUUAUCAAGAAGUCUCCAUUAGAUUUUUUGAGGAAGAAAGAUAAUUGAUUUGACAGCAUGCAAUUACUGUUAAAUAAUUUUAAUGCAAUUCCUCUGUGGUUCAGUACAGGUUCCAGAGCUUCAGCUCAAAAGAUGCGUUUGGAAAACCUCCUAUAUUUAGUAGAAAUAAUAGAUUAAACCAAAGCCUUCUCCCUAUUUCUGAAAAGAAAACACUUCACUGUGUCCUGUCACAUACUUCAUACUUCUUCUAAAGGUGAUCGGGAUCCUACUAGUAGUCAUCCGGGAUGAAAUUCAUUUUGCACAUCAUUUUCAGUAGCAAGAGCAACAUUUUAACAUAAAUCCUAAGUCGUAUUUGUAAACAGUAUUUUCAAUGUGAUAACUUGAGAAAUGAUCUAGUCAUAAAUAAGUUGCCUAUGUGCAUAUCCCAGCCACACCCCUGAUUAGUUUGGAACCUGAUCAAAAUUGGCACAGAUUUUGGAAUAAUAAUAAUUUAUUAUUUAUACCCCACCCAUCUGGCUGAGUUUCCCCAGCCACUCUGGGCGGCUCCCAAUCAAGUGUUAAAAACAGUACAGCAUUAAAUAUUAAAAACUUCCCUAAACAGGGCUGCCUUCAGAUGUCUUUUAAAGAUAGAAUAACUGCUUAUUUCCUUGACAUCUGAUGGGAGUGUGUUCCACAGGGCGGGUGCCACUACCGAGAAGGCCCUCUGUCUGGUUCCCUGUAACCUCACUUCUCACAAUGAGGGAACUGCCAGAAGGCCCUCGGCGCUGGAUCUCAGUGUCCGGGCUGGACAAUGGGGGUGGAGAUGCUCCUUCAGGUAUACAGGACCGAGGCCGUUUAGGGCUUUAAAGGUCAGCACCAACACUUUGAAUUGUGCUCGGAAAUGUACUGGGAGUCAAUGCAGAUCUCUCAGGACCAGUAUUAUAUGAUUCCGGCGGCCACUCCCAGUCACCAGUCUAGCUGCCGUAUUCUGGAUUAAUUGCAGUUUCUGGGUCACCUUCAAAGGUAGCCCCACGUAGAGCACAUUGCAGUAGUCCAAGCGGGAGAUAACUAGAGCAUCCACCACUCUGGCGAGACAGUCUGUGGGCAAGUAGGGUCUCAGCCUGCGUACCAGAUGGAGCUGGUAGACAGCUGCCCUGGACAGAGAAUUAACCUGUGCCUCCAUGGACAGCUGUGAGUCCAAAAUGACUCCCAGUCUGCGCACCUGGUCCUUCAGGGGCACAGUUAUCCCAAUUCAGGACCAGGGAGUCCCCCACUUUAAAAUCCUUGUGGCCAGACUGUUCAGCGGACUGCCUCCCUCAGUACUGACCAAGCUGAUAUCUAAAGAUCUUCUGGAGAGAUCAGGCUAUAAAUUGGUGACAGUACAAAGGGGUGGCAGCACCCACCUUUUGGGAUGUUUUCCCCUUGGAUAAUCCAAGAGGCAGAGAUAGCAUAUAAACUUUACAUGAAUUAUUAUUAGCUAGGCUUUGAUGAACGCUGACUGUUAAAUGUUCAAUUUUCUUUUUAUCAUGCCCUGCUCAGUUUAACCUAUAUUAUAUAGCUUUCCUCAGUUGUAACUCAGGUUUUUAAACUUUUGUUUUACUGAAUAUUACUGAUGUAUUUUUUUCUAUGAUAUUGAUUUCUUCCCCAGUGUUUAUUUAUUGUUUGCAUUUAGUCUAUUUUAUGAAGACCACUAAGAGAUCCUGCCUUAUUAAGUGAUAUGUGAAUUGUACAAAUAAAUAAAUAAAUAAAUAAAUAAACCACAGAGACAUGUAUUAUUCCAUCCAGCCUUAUUAAGCCUCGCUUUCACUAAGGUAGUUAACCUUUAUGAAGGGAUAUACAUCAUGCACAGUCAGUUAAACACCUCCAGGAUGUAGACCUUCAUUUUGCUAUUUUUUUUUAAAAAAAUACUUGGAUAAAUACCCCUGAGCUGCAAAUAUGUUUCUCAUCUUUUUGAGGCAUUAAGAACUCCAGCCAUUAGUCUGUUAAACUCAACAUUAGAUUGUCAUCAGUUGCGUGGAAACUGCUUCCUAAGCUUUCCUCUGUAAACUCUCCUUUCAAGAGAACAGGGCUGUCCUUAUUGUAAAAUCCAAACACACAACUAGCUUUUUUUGUGUGAGGUUUUCUGUCAGCUAUAUGCCAUUUUCCUGGUUUGGAUGCCACAAGGGUCAAUGAAUAAUAUAUUAUCCAUGUAUGUGAGUGGAAACAGUGCCUUGAACUGUGUGAAAGAAUCCAAUUGCAAAUGACAGUGCAGUGGUUACAUUAAAGGGAGAUUACUUAUCUCACUGGUAUUGCUGAUGCUGUGAUAUGUGGAAUAAGCUUAUCAAAUGUCUACAAAGGGCAUGGUUCAUAGGAAUGAGAGGAACCAGCAUUAGAAGUAGAAACACGUAGCUGGAAGUUACGUUAUGAGGUGAGGUGACAACGGUAUAAUGGAAUUGAACAAAAUUUGCAUUCCCAGUGUCCAUGGACCAUUUUAAUACACAUUGGGGGAAAGCAGCUAGUAUAAUAUUCUAGCCCUAUUACAAAAUGGCAGAUCUGCAGAAUCCACCCAAUCCUCAGAGAUUCAGCAGCUUGUCCUUUGUAUAAACAUAACGAAUAUGUCCCCACUGACUUCAUUUCUAGGCAUGCAGAGAACAUUUGCUAACACUGGUGUGAAGAUAAGAACGGUACUGCCUGGAGCCCAAGAGCAAAUCAGAGCAUACGUAUGUGGCAUACUUUCUAUCAGUAUCAAAGCAAAUGGGUAACACUUUUUGCUGGGAGAGUUGUCCUGGUUUCAUCCAGAUUUUGUGUCCCCCAAACAGAAUGCCUUCGAUCUGUAGAAAACUUCUGAUCAAGCAGAAGAGUCACACUAGAAGAAUUGGCAGUCCUCAGUGCCCCACCCAACAUUUAUUUUAGAGGGUAUGGUGACUCUCCAGAACAUCAUGAGAGGUGGAGUUCCAGAGAAAUUAAAAUUAAAAUUCCAUCAUGAGCUAUAGAAUGAAAGGGUCCACGAGGCUGAUCUGAUCUGGCAAAGCCCUCGUUGCAUUCCUUAUAACUUAGCCGUUAGAUCUCAGUCACAGUGGAAUGAGAGGAGAUAAAUUGUGCUCUCACUUACAUCAGUGUAAAAGUGCAGGUCUAGUAAAACCACUCAAGUUAUUCUAGAUUUAUUGAAGGGCCUCUGGUAAAUCUAUGACAACAAUGUCAGGUUGGAAAGAUACAGAAAAAGAAUAAUAGCAUCCAUUUGAAAAGAAAGGAAAAGAAAAUCUCAUAGGCAGUAAAGUGAAAAUAUAGCCAUCUUUCCCAGAAAUUGUUAUGUACAGUAACAAUGCACAUGACUGCACACAAUGGUUUCUCACAUCACACAAUGGUAGGUUCUUGCUCUCAGUUUUGAUAGUGCUGAUUUCCUGUUGGCAGAAGAGGUUUCUUCCCAUCCACCAUUUCCCAAGUAACAAGUGUUAGUGCUGAAAAUGCUAAUGAUGGGUGUAGAAUGUGGGUUGUAGUUGUUUUUCAGUUCAGUGCAGCAGUCUCUCCCUGCCUUCUUUCCUAUGUUGGAUAGAAUCAAGGAUCUAAAAUUAAGACACCGCAGCACCUCUCUGUCCACGAUGGAGCUGAAUUAUUACUGUGAGGUAAUCCAAAUGACUACAUUUUUAAAAAGAUGAACUAGAGUGGUGGUGAGGGGGAACGUAUAAUGCAACAGAUUAUUUAUUUAUUUGUGAGCCUGUCAUGCUAGGUGGUACGUGUAAUAUCCACAAAUGUAGAGCAACAUGCUAAAUAAAGAUAUUCACCUUGAAUUUUUCCUCUUGACUGGCAUUUUUGAACUGUGUAAAACCAAGAGUGCUUUCAUUUCAGAGAAUGGCUUGGAAUUUAGGAACAGAAAUCAACAGGUGACGCUGCAAUGAAGGCAUUCAACAAAACUACAAAUUAAAAAGUUGAAAUUUUAGCCUCCGUGGAUGUCUUCUUUCUUUCUUUGCAGCUACCUAGCAAAUGAAUACCUUAAAAUGGUUGUCAAUGAACAAUGCAAAGAAAGCCUUUACAAAAGGCACUAUUCAUCUGUUUUGAUUGUUGAAACCAUGUUCAUUUUGCUGCCAAGCUCUCGCUCGCUUUCUCCUUUUUGUUCUUUCUUUGCAAUUUCACAACUUCCCUGCUUUGUUCUUCCUUUGCAAUUUCACAUUAUAGAACCAUCACUGUUGCAGCCAUCUAAGUUCAGGCUGUCAAAGGAGUUCAGGGCAGUUCUCCAUGAGGUUCAAGUCAAGAGUGAAAAUCCAGGCCAAAUCCUUAACACUGUAAACGGAAAUCAAUAUAAAGUUUGAAUCCGUAAAGGAUUUACACAUCUCAGGGCUUCUCUGGAUGGUUCUAAGUCUGACCCAGCUCCAGUCACAUUUUAACCCUCUCAGGAGCAAAGCUAAGUUAGUGUGAAAUGUAAUCUGAAUGCAUCCAAGUGUUGAUAUCAAGAAUCACAUAGGAAUAGCAUUAUAAUUGCAUUGUGUUUGUUAUGUUGUAUCCUAAUUGAAUAUUUGGCAUCCUUUUACCUUCCUCCAAUACAUCCAAUUGUGUUCAAAGCACCACAACUUAUUCUAAUUCCUAAGUUUACUAGCCUAUUUACCAUUGUGGAAUAAAGCUGAUAGCUAUGCAACCCAAGCUGUGGGGCAACCUUCAGCUCGGCAAAAAAAUGUCAAAAAUAGUCAGGUAGGUAGCAAGCAGAGAGAGUGAGGAAAUAAUUCUUUGAACACAUUAUAAAUUGGUCAGAAAUCACAUCACAAGGAUGGAAUUUCCAAUCUCUUAAGCCAAUUUCAUUACUUACAUGUGCAAACCUAUAUAAGAUAUAGGCUAUGGAUUAACAUGACCUGUCUGGUAGGAAGCAUAACUGGGACCCCUGCUUUUCAAGGUUAUGCCUUUGAAACGUUCCACCAAUGUUUAUAUUUCCAUACCCAUGGUGCUGCUAUUGCUUUUCUCUUUAUGACUUUAGCAUCUUUUCAAAAGGCAAGCACAAUCCUAAUCAUGUCAAUGUUAUGAUGAUGUAAUUCAUACGUCAACAUUCAGGAUGCCUGGGUCUCACAUGACAGUCAGUGAGAUCCAGCAAAUAAGAUCAAAGCAGCUUCCCCAACCUAACACACAACUGAAUUUUUCAUUCUUAGCAUCCGUUUUUAUCCGUUAUGGCUGUUCUACUGAAACUUUGCUGUCACUGAUGGUUCUGCAUGUCCAGUAGGGGACCAUAGUAACAGGGUCCAUCAACGGUUUCUCUGCAAAAAAUUACAUAUCGCUUAGGAAGACAGGCGAACUAAUACCAAUGUACUGGAAGAAACAAAGAUCACCAGUGUCAAAGCAAUGAUUAUUCAACAUCAACUUUGCUGGACUGGUCAUCUUUUUCACAUGCCUGAUUAUCAUCUUCCAAAGCAACUACUCUAUUAUCAAUUUAAGAAUGGAAAGCAAAUUGCCAGUGGAUAACAAAAGCGGUUUAAAGAUGCUCUCAAGGCAAAUCUGAAAAAAGUAGUAUAAACACUGACAACUGGGAAACACUGGCCUGUGAGCACUCCAGCUGGAGAAUAGCCUCUACCAGUGGUUUCAUGGACUUUAAAGAAGCACAAACUCAAGACGAAGGGAGAAACGAGCUAAGAGGAAGGCACGUUUAGCAAAUCCUCACUGUGAUCAACUCCCACCCAGAACCCUAUGUUCCCACUGUAGAAGGACAUAGAUUUGGCCUCCACAGUCACCUAUGGACACACCGUUAAGACCUUAUUCAUGGAAGACAAUCUUACCCAGCUACAAGUGAUUGCCAAAAGAAAAAGAAAGGGAAGAUUUGCCUUCAUUAUGUAUGUGUGAAGAAUUUGAAUGCUUUGAACACCCAGAUUUUGCACUCAGAGACGUCAUUACAAUAAAUGAAUGCUUCAUAUUCAUUCAAAUAAAAGCAGCAUGUGUGUACUAGUUAUUUAGAACUGAAGUCCAGCUUAGGGUUUAAUUUGCAAAUAUGUGAGCUCCUUGUGCCCCAGAGAGGUGACUUCGGUGCUGCUAAUGAAACAAAAACAAUGUGGGAGGCAGCAGAUAGAGUUACCAGUCUCUGCAGCCACAGCAGGCGCUAUGAUUCUCCAGAGGUUUGAAUUCACCCCCAGAGAUGCACUUCGUUGUCUUUUGAGAAAGACAGUUGCCAACAAGUAAUCAUACUCCCUUCAAAAACCCAAAAUAGAUACGUAAUUCUUUGCUCCUUGAAAUCUAGCAGCACUUCCAUUUUUUUUAAAAAAAGUAUUGUGUAAACAAACAAAGCUGUUGUCUCAAAGCAACUUUUUCUCCUUCUCACCCCACUUGAAAUCCUAGGAUAAAUAUGCAUUUCUGUGAAUAAUAAGAUUUAGCAACUGAAGGCAGGAAUGUUACGUGCUUGCAAGAAAACCGCAACUAAGUAUUAUUCAACAUUCUAAUCUUGUGGAGUUUCAAGCUCCCCUGCCCCGCCUUCCUUUUUCUUUUGGUGUUCCUUCCUAGUAAUAUGCAAGAUGGAUAACAGGUAGAUAAGCAUCUUGCAGAGAGAAACAAGAUCACGUGUCAAAAUUCAGAGUUUUCAACACCAUGGAAAGUGCUAUCCCUGCCCAGUCAGGCUGCUUAUCUGGAAGAUGCAGCUGGUAGAGCUCAGGGAACAUAGCUACAACUAUGAUGUCCUUAAAUAGCUUGGUAAUGUUAUUUUCACCAAGCACUGCUCUCAGAAAGAGUUUCACCAAAUAAAUCCCAAUUUCAUAUCCCAAAUGCAUGCUUCUCUUGCAAAGAGUAUGUUUAAAAAGAGAGCAUGCUAAUGAAAAGUUACUGAAAAACUGAGCAAUGGGAUUCAUGGAUAUAAAUAUCUCAUUCUGAGGUAUUUUGAAAGCUUGUAAGUGUACACAAUAAUUAGGAACAUGGGAAGGUGCCUUCAGCCCAUCUGUGACCACAUUACUGCCCUCCAGGCAUUGUAACAUAGCUAACAUAGGAAGAUGACUUGUACUAAGGCAGAUUACUGGUCCAUCUGUCUCAGUAUUGUCUACACUGCAUGGCAGCAGAUCUUCAGGGCUUCUGGUGAGGAUAUGUUCCAGCAUGGUCUGCAAUGCCAGGGAAUGAACCUGGGAUCUUCUGUAUGCAAAGAAGAUGCCCUACCACUGGGCUAUAGAAUCUCAGAACCCCAAUGGACAUUUAGUCCUAGUCCCUGCAAUGCAGGAAUUUUUUUGUUCAACGUGGAGCUUGAACAUAUGGCCCUGAGAUUAAGAGUCUCAUGCUCUACCGACUGUGCUAUCCAGCUAUGCCUCUGACCAUAAUCUCAUUCAAGGAACUAGAUGCAAUUUCUAACCAACAUGAAAAAUAGUGAGCAUAGCAUUUGAAGUGUGUACAUAUACAACCUUUUUAAAGUAAUUGUCCAAGGGCGCUUCCAGAUGGCCUGUUUCUUAGGUAGUCAUCAUGAUUUGUUUGACAGGAGGCUAGACUAUGUUGCAUCAAAGCGAGUCACUGUUAAUCGUCCUGUUACGGGCUUUCAGGGGGCAAGGAUCCCUUAAAAUUCCUGGGUGCCAGGUUCUCCCCAUAAUUUCUGGAAUUAAUAAAUAAAUGUGGGGUUUGAUCAAUUGAUUUCACAAGGAAGAAGAAGAAGAAGAAGAAGAAGAAGAAGAAGAAGAAGAAGAAGAAGUCAAGCCCAUUUCCUCAGGAGCUGGGCUUAGAGAGGUACCAUUCGAGAACAAAGACAGGUAAUAACAGAGUCAUUACCCGAACAAAAGGGUGCUAGAAUUACGGGGUGUGUGAUGUCACCGCAGGAAAAAGUGCCUUGCAGGAAGUUUUGAACUGGAGGUUGCCAGGGUGACGGGGGGCAGAGCUAGAAGCUGAAGGGAAGGAGUUGUUUUCUGCAACAGCUACUGUGAAGGAGGAAGUAGGCAGAACUCCACAUGGGCACUGAAGGGGAGCAGCCAUGCUGGCUGGCUGGAGCAGGCUGUUACAAGCAGACCAGGUGAUGACACUUAGGAUGCCUCUGAAUCCAACGCUACAUUGCUGGGAAGGACAAAUCCCUCUGGAGAUGUAAAUGCUGUGAAUUCUCUCCAUCAAAACCCGGGUUGUUAAUAUGUGUAGAGUAAACCAUAUUUCACAAAGGCACUAGUGUUUGCUUAGCCUCAUUCCCUCAUUAAGUGCCAGGGCCAGUGCCAGAGUCCUUCUGCUGCUCUGCUAGAUUGAGGGGGCCUGUAACAGUCUGCCAUGGCUUGGAUUCACUCUCAAAGCAAAAUGGCUGUGAGCUCCAGGGGAAGCAGCCUUAUAUAGGCUUCCCCUCCUUCUUCACAAGGGCUCAUGGGACAGCUUUUUCCCAUGACCCACCACACAGAGAAGAUACUUGGCAAAACAUUGCCCAGUAUUUUGCUGAAAUCUAUGGGCCAAAGCGCCACCGGACAAAGGCAUCCCAUCCUUAUUGGGCAUGGAACGGGGCUUAAACCCAGUUCCUUCUGCACUGCUUUGGGGUUAAAACAUUAAUUUUCCAAUCAAUGUAUUAAAAAACAAACAACCUAACUGUCAGACACAUAUUUUCUUACUGAGCAUUGCUGUGUCUCCAUUUGAUUCAUUUUUACAUGUAAAUCAUAUUUAUUAAAGUUUCCAAAAAUAUAAAAAUACAAAGAAAAAAAGAAAAAGAAAAAAAGAUAUUUAAAAACCUUACUUUCAUUGCCUACUUUCUGGGACUCCCCCUCCCCCGACUGUAUUCCCCUUUCCUUAAUUUAGUUCUACAAGCUCUCACUCCCAAUUUGAAGCUUAAUUUGUUUAACCCACUAUCCAAAUUGAAUUGUACAAAUCUUACCACCGUCCCACAUCAUUAACAAGAAAAGAAAAAGAUUUUCCCCAAGAUCCACCCCCGUUCCUUCCACGAAGUCCCUGUUUUUAAACACGUCCAAUCAAAAUAAAAUGACAUGCGUAAGUUAUGUAAAAAAUAAAAAAUAAAAGAUAUAGAAAAAUUCAAAAGAUGGUUACACAGCCUUUGGAUUUCAAAUCUCCCCCUUCCCCGGUUUGAAUUCCCCAUAUCCAUCAGUCUAUGCAUUAUCAGCUUGGAAGUCUCAAUUCAUGACCAAAUUUCUCCCGAUUCCAUCUUGCCGGUUUUCUUUUAAUUUAUUAAUAAUAUGUAACUUCAAGUGUCCAAUCUAACAAAGGCCUUUAAUUUCCUUGAUCUUUACCACUCCUCCCGUUGUUCUUUCCGUGUCGUAAUCAGUCCUUUGUUCUUCUUUUCCUCACUUUCUCAGGUUUCUUGUCCUGUUCAGCUGCUAAAACUUUCUAAUUCAGAAAUCUGGUAUCUCUGCAGAGGUUUGUUAUUCAGGAACAAAAACUUACGUCCAGUCCCUUCCUUUCUUCAAUAGAAAAUUCUAUUGUCUCCUUUAAUGUAAAUACCUCUGUAGACAAAAUACUAUUUCAGUUUUGCAGCUUUCCCAAAAGAUAACAAGUCCUGUGCGAAUCCCAGAGUAUUUUUCCACUUACGACCGUUCUUGUAAUAUCCCGAAACCCCUCUAGGGGGAUUGUAAUAACUUUGUAUCCUCUAAUCCAAAAGUCAAAUUGUUGCUUAUUUUCCAACAGUUUAUAUCCAUAUUGUAGCAAAUUGUAGCAAAAUUAACCGGCAAAGUCCUCAUAACAAAGUCCUCUUUAUAUUCUCCAACUUUGACAGCCACUUUAACAGCUGUCAAAGUCUCCGUCUCUCUUCACCAGGCUCCACGAAUCGCCCCGGUUCCCAGGGGGGGGGGGUUGCAUUUUUCUUCUCACCCUCCACUCUUCUCCUCCAGCACAGUUCUUAUAAUUUCCCAUCGUGAAAUUAAUGGUUUUUAUCAAGAAUAUACUUCCCUUUGGACCUUGGUUACCCAGUCCUUGUUUUGGAAUGCUUACAGUAGGGGGAUUGACUUCCUUUUAAAUCGCCCCGCUCGUGCCAAAUCCGAAAUUUUGAACCCGGUUUCCCAAUUACUCACGGGUUGUUGUUAAUAGUCCAAAUUUUCAAUGGAAGAAGUCAGCGCUCUCCGUCGAAUGGCAUGCGGCUGCGCUCGGCAGGGAAAGCAGAGGACUCAAGCACCACGCCGCUCCCCGGCACCCGAUCCGAAGCCUUUAAAAAGGCUCCUUCACGAGUCGGGAGGGCGCUAAUGGUGCAAGCCGAGUCACCCAUGUCCACGGACUCCGUGCCCGUGGUUUUUAAGGGUCCCCGCGUCGCCGGCGCGGUAGGACCCAGCCCCUGCCGAGCAGACUCCCUCCGGAGCUCGGAGGGAGUCCGCCAUUCGGCGAUGGCGCCAACCCGGAAGCCGAUUCAUUUUUACAUGUAACCCUGUUCAGUAUAGUUUUCUGAGUCAACAAUUGAAAUAUGAAGCCCUAAAUAAUCUCCCCCCAAAAAAACUCCUGUGAAAUUGAAAUUUAUAUUUUCUAUAAUAUUGGAGUGACGGAAGAUGGAAAGCUGUUUUGCAGGAUGUAGGAUGUCAUAUUUGUGAUGGAUGGAUACAUAUCCCCAGUUUACUACAUUAUCUCAUCUUUGCAGAACUACUCCCACUAGCACUUCCUCAUACAGUGAGGGCUGAAACAAUUAAUCUGUACACUAAAUCUAUGAAGAACUGCGAUAAAUGAUGAGAGAACAAAUGACUGGUUUCUUAGUGAUAGAGAAAUUAAAACCAGAUUGGCCAAACAACUUAAAGAAACACAUCCAUAUGCAACUUUUAUUCAGGGGGCUGCAAAAGAACCUGAUUAAUGAGAAUGGGUGUGGUUUUAGUCCAGUGCAGUUAUGUGCGAUUAAGACCCAUUGAUUUCAUUUGGAGCUAAAUGCAUGCCACUGUAUACUGGACUGUGGGAAGUGUUUCAUACAAUCAAUUAGGUUUGUGAAUGAAGUGUUCUUUAAUGAACGGCUCAGCCACAGUCAGCCUCUUCUAUUUGCAAAAUUGAUUACAUUUAAGUCAAUAGUUUAGAGAGGGAGUUUAGGUAAGAAUGUCUGCCCAAUGCUAGUUUUUGGUUUUACACUGGAAUGAAUGAUUGUAUAUAACUAAGUGAAUCCUCGAGUCUCAUAUAACAAACUUGAGUGAGUCGAAUUAAUACAAAAGAGGAUAUCUUGACAUCCUGACAUGCCCAGAGGAAAUCCCGACAUGAGAUUAUAAGGUUUGUUUCUUUGGUUUUCCCCCUUCUUGGUACUUUCUUUAAGCUUUUGGCUGUAGGAAAUAGAAGCGAUCCCUUUAAUGGGUUUCUUGAUUUGCAAUCGCUAGCUAUUCCUAGAGCACAUUUGCAUUUGAUAGGUUUUGGUAGAACACCAAUGAGUGUAAUUGGAACAGUGUGCAACCUUUGUGGGGAGCCUGGAACUGGGAUAUCUAUAGUUAAUUAUCAAGUUGCCUAGGGGUCCAACUGAUGAGGGGGAGUCUCCAUGCAUAUCAGUGAUUAUGCUGCAAGGUGUCAUUGGCAGAAAUAGCUGCACAACUUUGAAGGCUGGGGAGACUAGGAAUGAAACCUCACAUCUCCUUAAUGUCAAUAACACCUUAAGGCAGCUUCUCUUGCUGGUCAUUUGUAGCUAUUUGAAAGUAAAAAUGACAUUAUUAGGACAUACUCUGCCACAAAGCCAACUAUAACUUUUGGGGAGGGAGUCUACAAAUGUUAGAUUAGAUAUAUGGGCCAAUUUACAUGUUUGGGGUGUGGGAGAAGCAUAUGGUGAACUUCUGCUAGGAUUUUACCACCUGAGAAAACAGAAAGAAAAUGUAUGUUUUAAUGCUCCUCCAUAUGGGAAGAAAAUGUCUGUGGAAAUCUAGCAUGGCUAUUCUAAAAGGUGUAGCUUAGCCUGUUUUCCUGAUGUGUUAUUUCAAGACUUUUUUUUUUAAAAAAACUGAUUUGGAAUCUUUGGGAGAAAUUCAACGUCCCAUGGUGUCAAUUGUACUGUCAGGACGAGUAUUUCAGCUUGCCAAAUGGAAUGACACCCCCCAUCUCCUCGCCUGCUUGCACUGAUGUGGGGUCCUUCCAAACCGCUUGUGGGAAAGGGUUAUUGGUUUUGUUUUGUUGUUUUGUUGUUUUAUAAUUUAUGUUCUCAUUUUGUAUUUUUAUGUUGUGAACCACUCUGUGAUCUUCAGAUGAAGGAUAAAAUACAAAUUUAAUAAAUAAUAAUUUAAACCCCUGACCAAUCACCAUGCUGACUGGGGCUGAUGGAAGUUGGAGUCCAACAAAUCUGAAGGGCCAAUAGUCUAGAGCAGUGAUGGCCAAACUUGGCCCUCCAGCUGUUGUUGGACUACAGUUCCCAUCAUCCCUGACCACUGGUCCUGUUAGCUAGGGAUGAUGGGAGUUGUAGUCCCAAAACAGCUGGAGGGCCAAGUUUGGCCAUCACUGGUCUAGAGUGUUUUUGAAGCUCCUCUUUUAAGUCCCAUUCUGUAUUUUAUUUAAAGUCUUGAAUAAAUUUGGUCUUUACAUAAGGAGACCGACACCAAUGUAUCUGAGGGUAUUAGCUGGUCCAUGCUCUGAUGUCAUAAAUAAAUAAUUAAAACAUUUUAAUUUGCAGCAGUUGAACUGCAAGCCUGCUUGAAAUCAGUUCUACUCUACUGAUUUCAAAUGAGAGCAUCACAGCUGCCUGACAGUCCGUAAUUUUAAGCUGAUGUUUCUUACUUAGUGUUUUCUAAUGAAUUUUUUCUCCCAAAUCAUUUUCCUUUAGCAAAACAAACAAAAAACAAGCCCCUUAAAUCUUCCCAAAGAAGAGAAAGUAUGUUUUUAAAAGUGUGUAAGUGCCAUAUAUGUUUAAUUGAUAUCUUGUGACUAAUGCAUUGAAUGGAAAAUGUGCAUAAAUAAUGGUUAUUGUGCAGGGAGACUGAAGUGCAGGGAGACUGUCCUAAAAAAUAAUUAUGCAUAGAAAACAAGCAUGUAAGAAGAUUAGGUUACAAAAAAAACCCACACACACACACCUCAUUAGCACAGACCCUCCCUAUUUUCCAGGGACGUUCCUGAUUUAGGGAAGCCGUCCCAGUUUCUGAUUUGAUCCCGGAACGUCCUACUUUUCCUUAGGGUGUCCCUGUUUUCAUUGGAGAAAUGUUGGAGGGUAUGGAGUUAUCCAACCCCUGAGCCCUCUGAAGGCAAUCCUGCAUAGGGAAGGCUUUUUUAAAUUUUUAAUGUUGUAUUAUGUUUAUAUAUAUAUAUGGCAACCCAGUAAGAUGUGUGGAAUAUAAAUAGUAAAAUUAUCAUUAUGGAAUGGGGAGUCCCUAUUUUCAUCAGAAAAAUGUUGGAGGGUAUGUUAGCAUACUAACUUUCUAUUCAUCUCACCUGUUACUAUGCUCGAUGUGGGCAUCUCCCUCUGUAUCAGGCACUGGAAAAACUUGGAUACUGGGUGUCAACAAGUAUGGAAAGUAGUGUUGAUGGAAAAACUUACUAAACAAAUAAAAUCAAACAUGGGAUGAAUGGAUGAAGAUUUCUGUGCAGUUUCGUUUUGUUGUAUUUCAUACAGAAAACAAAAAGGAGCAAAACAAAUGACUUCUGAGGAUUCAUGGGCAGUUGUGGAAGGAACUGCUACAGGCAUGGAAGUGACUUGAUUUAACAUAGUUUAUGAACUUGGUUGGAUAAUAGUGUUGUUGCUCCUCCCUGUUGAAGAGUAGGUUGUAUGGUUUGCUGUAUUUAUCUGAAAAAACAAAGAGCUCUUCUUUCUUUUUCUUUUUUGCAUUUUACUCAAUUGCUAAGGGACAAAAUUUGGGACACUCAAGGGAUGGGAUGUCAACAUUACCUUGUACACUCAAACCAUUAGGAAUGGUCCUUUGACUUGUGCUAUCUUUUUAGAAGAAGAAAAUGAAGACAUUUAAUUAUAGCCAAGUAAAUUUUAGGAAACUGUGUUGGGUGAAACUAGGAAUCAAUCUAUGGAGGAAGAAAGCACUAAGGGAAAUAGAAAGUGAACAGAACUAAAUCAAUAGAUGGUGAAGAGUUAUGUGUGUACAAACAGGCCAUAAGAACACAAGAAGAUGGAAGAGAAAAUGCCAGUAUAGAUUUAGAAAGGAAUUAUAAUAAGCAAUCUUGCCAGAUGGCUGAGAUAUAAAAGCCAGCAUUGACCCUAGUUUUCCUGGUGAACAAUCUAUUUUCAUGAGUACUCUAAUCAAUAUUGCUGGAGCAUUUUCAUUCCUAACUGCUAAUCAACAUGAGUGAAGACUGCACAUUCACGCACCCUAUUAAACAGGGGGUGGGCUGUGGAAGAAAAUGUUGACAGUGUUCUGAACAAAAGAACUUUGAAAAACAGGAGAUUUCAAAAAGAUUUUUGAAGGAGGGGGGUUUCCCCUCAAGCAAAAUUAGUAGGAUUUUACUGACAAAACAACAUAGUAUGAUUUAAAAUUAGGGAUCUUUCCGACAUGCUUCUCUUCUGAAGUUUUCUUCAGAUUUUGACAUUCCAAAUUACAUGGUCUGUUGCUCAGAGUGAGAAAGGAUUGUAACUCAUGGGUAGAGCAACUGCUUUGCUAGUAAAAGGUCAUGUCCACAAGCUCUGGCAUCUCAAAAUAGGGGUGGGGUCUCCUGAAACCUUGGAGACCUGCUGCGUGUCAUUGUUGAAUAUCAUGAUCUAGAUGGACUGAUGCCUGACCUGGAGUAAGGCACGUCCCUAUGUGGAACAGAUGAAAUAAUCCUUGAUUCUGUAUUGGUUUCCAGUUUUUGCACAGAGAACUAGAUGUUGGUGGGAGCGUAUUUCCUAUGAAGCUAGGCUAUCUCCUUAUCCCUGACAUCCUGCUUUUGUAUGUUUAGGGAACACAAUGACCUCCUUACCUGCUGUUGCAAUGACCAGGUUGCUCGUUUUAUAGAGAAACUGAAGUUACAAAGGUGGUGUGGUAAUUAAAAAGUGUCAAAUGUGUGGUUUUACAGUCUUCCUUUAAAGCAAAGAAACUUGGGCCACGAAUCACAUUCUGUGUCCUUCAGCAGAACGAAAUCUGUGUCUUUGGUAUUGGAAAGGCUCUCAUACCUUGAACAAUUAUUGGCAACUCCUCAAGGAGGAAGGAACUAAUAUCCCUAGGUCCAAGUUUUUGACCUUUUUCUGGGACAAAAGAUGGGAUAGAAAUCUGUUUUUCUUCUUCAAACAAAGAAAUAAAACUUGCCAUACUCUGUCAGUAAAUCAGUUUAGAGGAGUAAGGCUACACAAUCCUAAGCACACUUAUUUAGAAGUGAGUCUCAUUGAAUACAGUGGAACAUAUAUUUCUGAAAGAGCAUACACAGGAUUGUGGUCCUGGUCUCAGAUCAGUAGCUGGGGAAACCCAGCCAGAUGAAUGGGGUAUAAAAUCAUCAUCAUCAUCAUCACUAUCACCAUCAUCAUCAUCAUCAUCAUAAUCAAGUAAUGUUCUUUACUGCCUAGCAAAAGAUUCCUGUGUCACAGGGGGUUGGACUAGAUGACCCCUGUGGCCCCUUCCAACUCUAUGAUUCUAAGAUCUCUGCUCACAACGAUAUCUUAUUUGGAUUUCUAUCUAGGAAGAUUUCCAUUUGAUUCUCUUUAUGUUUUCAGGAUGCUGGCAAGACAAGCCUUUUCAAUAGAACAAAGUCAGGCUUAAUACAACAAUGUGGACCAGUUUGUUUGUUGAGUAGACCAUGGGAGUAAUCCUAUAUACAAGAAGCUAGCAUAAGGCAAACCGGGUGCAAGUUAAGUGGGCCUAGAGUGCAGCAGCUCCAAACUCUGUUCAGGAGUCGGGAUACAGCUGGCUGAGGUAGCCUAUGCCUGGCAGAGGGGAAACAAGUCUUUAAAAUGGUGAUUGAAUUACACCACUCUUUUUGCCGGUUUGACUUAUUAUGGGUCGCCAGGUCACAUGGUGAAGCUGAAUGGGUUUAGGAUCCAGCCUAAGUCCCCUCAUACCCCGGAACACCCGUUUUCAGGGUUUAGGAUUCACCGGACUUAGUUUAGCCUGCUUGGUCCUUGCUGAGUGGGAUGAUGGAGAGACGCCGGUGUAUCUUCAGCUGAGCCAAGGAUGAGGGAAUUAAGCCUGUGUGGCCUGGCUGCACUGUGAACUAGACUACUCAACCAUAGAUCCUGUGAAUCCUAAUCCCACUCAUGCUGGUGGAUCUUGUAGGAUUGCUCCUUCAAGCCCUGAGCAUCUUGUUUGCUAAGAUGGACUAGUCUAAAAGGUGCAGUGUAAUGUUUCUCACUACCCUGCUGCUCUAACCAGUUCCCAGUCUCUAUGAGUGCUUCUGGAAGGGUCAUUUUGUAUCCAUUAAGGCUCUGUCAUGGACUGUACCUUUGCAUUCAGUUCCCAUAUUUAAACUCCAAAAGACGUUCCUCCACCUUUCAGCCAUGUGCGUGUAUUCCUGCCAGCAGAGGUUCAUCCUCCAUGAAUCUGACAACAUGCGCUCUAGUCCAAAACUAUGCUAUAGUAAAAUGUCUGUUAGUUUUUCAAGGACUACAAUACUAUUUGUAAUAGGGUUUUUUUGCUGGUUUUGUUUUGUUUUUGCUGCUGCUGCUGCUGCUUAGUGGACAAUUUAGAAGUUUUUUGUCAGAAAUGCAGUUUCACAGAAGUUUUAAUCUUUACAUUCUUCAGUUAAUCUAUUUUAUCAAAAUGUAGUAAGAAAAUAAAGAAGGAAGAGCAGGAGAAACAAACCAGGCUAAACAAGCAAGCAAAGAAACAGCAAAAUUAUUUUGAUACAUGGAAGACAUAUACCCCCCUCCCCCCAAAAAAAUUUUUCAAGUUGCUGCACUAGUUAUUCCAUAGUUUUAUGUCACUGAAAUUAUAAUAAACAUUUACGUGGUUCUUUGCCUUUCAAGCAGCAUUAAACAUGCAGAUGAAAAAUAAUGCCCCCAAACAAAGACUACAGGUGUUGAUGAGGAUUAGUUGCUAUUGUUUAAGCUAGAAAGUUCUUCUCAGUGGACCCACUAUAAGACAAAAGGCACACAGCUAUGAGCAGAGUUCAAUAACUCAGAGGAAUGGCUGAAUUGAUUUUAAUUUUAACCUCAUUUACAUUCUUUAUUAUUUUCAUUGGUUUAAUUAAAUUUGUCUAAUUCAUUACAAUUGCUAAAAGUCUACUAUUCAUUGCAUCAUAAGCAUAACUGUAAUGUGUUUAUAUUCAAAUGCAGCAGCAAAUUAAAGCGGCCAUUAAAUUUUUAAAAAGUUCAGUUUGCAUUAUCUAUCACAUUCUGGAGAGUUGUGAGGUAAAAGCAGUUGUUGUUGUUGUUGAACAAAAACAAUCCAUAGAAAACUUAUUUAAUAUUCUAAUGACUAGUAGACUUCCUAACUUGAAUUCUGAGUAACUUUUCCCCCCUCUUUAAUUAGGUUUGGAAUGUGAUUGUGUACAGUAAGUGUGUGUGUGAUAUAUAUAAAUUAACAGUCUGCAUAACUGUCCUGUCUUUGGAGGAGUCUUUUUCCAUUCUUGAUCUAACCCCAGCAGAUCCAAGGCUAUUGAUCAUGGAUGAGGAUGCUGAUAACAUACUUGCUACCUUCCAUGGAGACUGUGUCCAAUUCUGGGCACCACAAUUUAAGUAGGAUGUUGACAAGCUGGAAGUUGGAUGUUGACAAGCUGGAGGGCAACCAAGAUGAUCAAGGGCUUGGAAACUAAGCCUUAUGAGGAGUGCUUGAAGGAGCUGAGUAUGUUUAGCCUGGAAAAGAGGAGACUGAGAGGAGAUAUGAUAGCCAUCUUCUAAUAUCUUAAGGGCUGUCACAUGGAAGAAGGAACAUGCUUGUUUUCGCCUGCUCUGGAGGGUAGGACUCUAACCAAUGGCUUAAAGUUGCAAGAAAGGAGAUUCUGACUAAACAUUUGAAAAAACUUUCUGACAGUAAGAGCUGUUCAGCAGUGGAACAGGCUCCCACGAGAUAUGGUGGACUCUCCUUCUUUGGAGGUUUUUAAGCAGAGGUUGGAUGGCCAUCUGUCAUGGAUGCUUUAGCUGAGAUUCCUGCUUUACAGGGGGUUGGACUAGAUAACCCUUCCAACUCUAAGAUUCUAUGAUUCAAGAUUUGCAGUUGUUGAAAUGAAGAUUGUGUUGUUUGGGAGUCAGAUGGAGUGAAGUAGCAAGUUCGGCAGAAAGUAAUCUAUUCACUGAUGAAGACCCACAAUCUCUUCACACAAAUUAUUCAUGUGAUUAAACAUAGUUUCCAUGUGAUAAAUUGCAGCUAUCAUGUGCUAGCUUGUUUGUAUGAAACUUGCUCUUGCAGCUCUGCUAUCAUAUUGCCAUCUUUUCUCUCGCUCACUGUGCUCCAAGCCUGCCUAGCUUUGUUAGCUAAUGACUGAUGGAAUAAGAAGAAUCAUCCAUAAUACAAUAGAUUCAUGAUAAUGGCUUAACAAAAGCAGAUUAUCACAUGAUUGAUUCUGUUCAUCUCACAGCAAACUAUUAAUUCUGAUGUGUUAACUGAUCAGGUAAACUCACCCACACUUUGAUUUUCCAAAUGAGGCUGAAAUAGGAUCUGUGCAGGAUGUUUGCAGAUUAAUGAUGUUCCCCUUUGCUGAGGUCAUCUUACACAGAACCCAGGUGUGGGAAACUGUUGGCCAUUCAAGUGCUGCUGAACUACAACUCCCAUUGCAUCAGGCCAUUGGACAUGCUUGCUGUGGUUUUUAAUUCAGCAACAUCUGGACAGCCAAAGGUUCCUCACCUAUGAUAGAAACCACCUCCCAAAAUGUAGAUUUUUUCAUCCCCUACUUUGGCAGCAAACCAAUACCCCAGUGGAUCUGACAAUUCACACUUUCAGCCCACUGCAGUGAAUAGGUAUAAUAAUAAUAAUAAUAAUAAUAAUAAUAAUAAUAAUAAUAAUUUAUUUAUACCCCACCCAUCUGGCUGGGUUUCCCCAGCCACUCUGGGCGGCUUCCAACCGAAUAUUAAAAACAAUACAGCAUCAGACAUUAAAAACUUCCCUAAACAGGGCCGCCUUCAGUUGUCUUUUAAAAGUAAAAUUGUUGUUUAUUGCCUUGACAUCUGCUGGGAGGGCGUUCCACAGGGCAGGUGCCACUACCGAGAAGGCCCUCUGCCUGGUCUCCUGUAACCUCACUUCUCACAGCGAACAAGGAACAGAACAAGGGAGAAAUCAUUGUUAAGUCUUACACCUGUUAAGCCUUUUAAAUAUCAAUAAUUUACUGAAACUGGAAAAGUGUGUGGUUGAGAAGGGUCAUCCUUCCCAUCACCUCAGAAAUAAUGCAAACAUGGCCCUAUGACAGAAACACCUGUUUCAUGUUGUCUCCCUCAACCCUCUUUUUUGUGGGAUGGGUUUUAAUAGGUAGGAGAGGAUAUAUUAAUUGCAGUUUACCUUCCAGGAACCCAUUUGUAUGGGUUGAACAGUUUUGAAAUGUCACGCUUGGCAGCAAAAAUUAAAAAACAACAAGAAACAAAGAAACAUAGGAAUUAGGCCGUAAAGCCUUCUUUUGAGUAAGUCCAGUUAUGAAGUAAGCUGGCUUCCCCUUUCUUAUCCUGCUUAACAAACAAUAAGGCAACAACUUGGAAAGUAAGUUUUUAAAAUAUGAUUUAUUAAUUUAUAAUGGUGCAUUGGUUCACAGCAAAGACAGCAGUAAAAAACUAUGCAGGCAAAACUCCACUAUUGACACUAUAACUUCAGGCAUGUGCCAAAAGCCAGAGCAAGCAGAGACAUGACUGCAUCCAACACUGGUCAAAAGAAGAUAGAAGGGAGUACAGGAAGUACUAUAUAUACUGCUUCCUCUCCAGGAGAGGGGGCAAAAUGACAUCACACAGAGCCCUCUCUACAAAUUGCAUUUCUAUGGUCAGAGUAUCUGCCUCCCAGGAAUGCAGUUGUAUGGACUUAGCCCCUUCUCAUGCUAGCAAGAAUUUGUGUUUGUUAGAUUUGGCUGCUAAUCUCCCACAUUUUAAUCUAUUGCAUGAAAUUGGAUGGCUGUAUUGCCUCUAUAUCACACUUUGACACAUGUGUGAUGAAAGCGAUAAGGUGUGUGUCCACUCCAUUAUAUACAGACUCCUACUUUCCCAGUGAUAUGAGAGCCCUCAAGAAUUCAGACAGCUCCUGAAACAUUAAUUUGUCAGCAAAACAGCAUUGUGAUUAGACACAACAAAGGUUUAAUCCAUCUUGCUCAUCUUUGAUGGCUCUUUUACCUGUCAGAGGAAGUAAGCUUCUGAAUUCUAGCUGCUGGAGACCCCGGGAGAGAAGAUACUGUUGCACUCAGAUCCUGUUUCUGUGCUUCCCACAAGCAUCUGGCUGGCCAUUGUGAAAACAGGCUGUUGGACAAGAUGGGCUUGAUCCAGCAGUCUCUUCUUACAUUCUUUUAUUUUGAAAGCUCCCCACCCUCCGCUCACUGCCAUGUAUAAUUGACACAAUUUUGAAAAUUAAGAAAUAAAAACAAAAUAUUGCUACAGAGAUCCAGAAGCCCCAUACGACCUCCAUCAGCUAUAAAGCGGUGGGGUUUUUUAGAUGCUAAUUUUUAAAUAGUCCAAUAUUCUGUUGAAAAGAAUGAGCUAAGAUGGUAAGAGCUAUUCUCAAGGGAUGUGUAGGCCCUUUCCCUUUGAUGGGUAUGUCUGCUCUUCCAUGUGCUACCUUUGGCCCAUCAGUGGCUUUUGUAUCUGCAGUCAGUACCAAAGCAUCAGUACCAAAACAUUAUUCUGAAUGUGUGCUUUGAAGCUUUUUUUUGGGGGGGGGGGUUAAUGCAGCAACUGAAGGACUAUUUUCACUCAGGCUCACCUGUUAUGUCGGACAGCUGAGGCUUUUUCAACCAAUAUCCUGCAUUUAUGAAAUUCCCUCUCAGAAGAUUGCUUGCAUCUUUAUGGAAUUUAAAGACUGUUUUUCAGUUCACUUUUUCUGGAUAUGCCGAGUUGGAUUUUAAACCAUCCUUCUUCUCUGUUUUAUAUUGUAGUGUGUGACUUUUUGCCAGUCAGAUUGGAAAUUGUUAUUUGCAGCUGUGAAAUGUUUGCUUUUUAAAAAAGAGAAAGUGUUAUUUUGAAACUCUGGGAUGUAUCCAGUGAAGCCAUCCUAUCAGUAGAUUCCCCCCCCCCCAAAAAAAAGAAUAAAAUAUGAACUGGGUCACUCUCCAACCCUCUGGAACAGAUUGCAGGGAGGGCAUGUGGAGAAAGAGAUGGCAUCGCACAGGCACAUCCUUGUAAGUUAAUAAAGUUUUGGCCUUUCACCAAUCCAUAUAUUACCUCUUGCCUUCAUUCAAGGGGCAGGGGGCACGAGGUCUAAGCCAUUUAGCAAGGGCUUUCAGAAAGCAGAUGUCUGUAGGAUGGAGCUCUCCAUAUCUUGUACAGUUGAAGAACAACUGCAACAGAAAGGGCUUUUACAAUUGGAUUUUAUAAUGUUGAGCACUAGUUGCCUCUGAAUGGCACCUAUAAACUGUCAUCAACCCAAAGAGUUGUAUUCAACUUUCACAGUGCAAUGAGCAGCAGGUUAAACGAGGUUUAGUCAACAGAGAGAAUGUGGCUUGCAUAAUACGACACUAAAUCAUGCAGUAUAGAAAUUAUAGAUUCAUUAUUAGGAAGAUAGUUUAUUGAUGACUACAUUUUAUUAAUGGAUCCUUUUCCAUUAAUAAACAUGCAGGUAAAUCAUGUGAUUUAGUAGGGGAAAUGAAAUUAGGAAAGCUCAUUAAAAUCAGUAAAUGUGCUACAGAUACCUAGCAAUGAAUAAUUCAUCAACUGUACAAUGCAUUUACUUUUGAAAAAGCUCCCAUAAAUUGCUUUUAUUACUAAGCUAAUUCUAUUUUGUUGUUUUGCAAAGGGAUAUAUAUAUAUAUAUAUAUAUAUAUAUAUAUAUAUAUCCUGUAUAAGGUUCAGAAAGUUUAAUUGCAAAUUGAUUAACAUGGUGCUUUGCUAAUUAAAUCAGCUGAAAGAGAUUUAGGUUGACACCAUGCUAGGUGCUCAAAUUAAAGGACUGUCCUAUUGCGUUAAAUGCAGUACAUUUGUCACUGAUAAACUAACAGCCUCUUCAUUUGAGCAGACAGCCAAUGGAGGAGAAACGAGGAUCUAUACAGUACUGGAUUUAAUGAUUAUACGGAUAAUGUCUACCAAAAGUACAGGAGGUUAUUCAUGUGGUACACCUUUCACAGUUAAAUGAUAAUCUUAAACAAGUUACGUCUGAGUUAUUAUGACAUGACUUUUUUUCACUCUCAGAAAUACUGAUUGGUCCCACGGUUCAUCUUAAGCCCACUAAGACCAGGGACUUUAGUGUGGUGGCACCUGCCCGUUGGAACGUGCUUCAAAUGAACAGCAAACAGGCAAUUUCAGUACUGAAUGUAGACACCUGCUUAAAAGUAGACUUUCACUGAGGGCUGAUCCAGCUAUAUUAAUCGAAUCUACUUUUUUGUGAUGUAUUUUAUACCAGUUUUAUUCUUGGUUUUAUACCGUUCACCAGCCUGACAUUUUUUGUUAACACUGGCAGUAUAGAAAUGAUUGCAAAUCAAUCAAUAAAUGCAUUCACUAAGAUACAUUCAGUUUCACAAAUACAUAUAAUACUUCAUCCGGCAAUCAUAAAAAAGCAGGGCAGGGGAGUGGCAUACUGCUAGAACAAUGUCACUUUUCAUGAAAUAACCGACAUUCAGAUGCUGAAAUAUGAAUCAAGAUAUGAAAUUCAAUAAAAACACCAAUAUAUAGGGUGAGUCUUUUAAAAGAGGCCCCGUGGAACAUGUGUACUCUGUAUCCGCGGCGCCUCUUUUAAAGGACUUGCCCUGUACAAAACUCAUCUUUUUUUAAAAAAAACACAACUGCCAUACUGAAGCCCGAUUAAAUAAUAACAAAUACAUGAACUGAAAGUCACAAAUGAGUAGAAGAUAAAAGCUUCAGAUGGAUAGGGCCUAAUCCAGUGAAGGUCAAUUACAACAAACCUUAUUGAAAUUGGUAGGAUUGGGGUUGGUUGUGAGGGAUGGAUGGCCUUCAUUCCUAUGCACACUUACUUAAAAGUAAGCUCCACUGAAAACAUGGAUAAGAUUGGACUGCAAGUCCCAUUCAUUGCCUACAAUGUGUCUUAGGGCUGCCACAUUUCAAAAUUCUGGGAAAUUCUGGACGUAUGGUAAACUUAAUUGUGAUGAACAAUGGAUUGUAGCAAUCUGAAAUACAAAAUUUUAUGUCCAACAGGAGCCAUUAACUCCAAGAUUUGUACUGCACUGUGUAGCAAGAGAUUUGGCUCAACAUAGCCAAAAUUUAAGCAAAGCAACCCCCAAGAAUGGAAGGGCCUGCAUAUCAAUUUAGGGUAUGGCUUGUGGUAUAUUUAGCAAACUGUUUGGCCACUACACAAAACUGUAUAGAUUCCUGUUGUCAAGACACUUAAUGGUCAGAUUGUGCUGAGGCAGAAUAGAUCCUUCAAAAACAGGGGGGAAAUGUAAUGAGAUUUUAUCACUUUCUUGCGUGCCCAAUGUAGGGUUUUCUCAAGCAUGAUGUUUAUUUCUAUGGGUAAAUCAUUAUUCUAAAUAGCACUGCUGUACAGCCCUGGACAAUCAAAAGAGUCUCCCAUUCACAGAUGAUAAAAUAAGCUGACUUUUUAGCAUUGAAUAGAAAAGAGCUUGUGGUACUUUCAUGCAGAGCUGCUCAGGCCUUAAGAUUGGCCUCAGAGGCCCACCAUCAAAGCUCAUCAAAGACCAGGUUCUUGCAAAAACACAUUCCAGAGUGUCUGCAUAAGAAAGGGAGACGUGCCUUGUUCCAUGUCCUAAACUCCCUUAAAGGUAAAGGGUAAAGCGACCCCUGACCGUUAGGUCCAGUUGUGACCGACUCUGGGGUUGCAGCGCUCAUCUUGCUUUAUUGGCUGAGGGAGCCGGCGUACAGCUUCCGGGUCAUGUGGCCAGCAUGACUAAGCCUCUUCUGUUGAAACCAGAGCAGCACACGGAAACACCGUUUACCUUCCCACUGGAGUGGUACCUAUUUAUCUACUUGCACUUUGACGUGCUUUCGAACUGCUAGGUUGGAAGGAGCAGGGACCGAGCAAUGGGAAUCCCCAUUGCGGGGAUUCAAACCGCUGACCUUCUGAUCGGCAAGCCCUAGGAUCUGUGGUUUAACCCACAGCGCCACCCGUGUCCCUCUAAACUCCCUUAGGUAAACCCAUAUAAGGAAAGGAAUGCAAAGGGAUCACAUGCAGCGAGGUGCUGCUUAGAAAGAGUUCAUUGUGUGCUUGCUUAAUGUAUAUGCAAUUAAGGACAGACCAUAAAUGAUAUGCUAAUAGGGUGAUGUAGCCUAGGAUUGGAAGGAUUUUGCUGCAGUUUAUGCAUAUGUCUGUUAAGAUAUAACAGAAAUGUAUAUAUGAAGGAGCCCCUCCCUUUGGAGGGGGCUCAGAUUUUGGAAACUGAUUCCUCUGAGUCAGCUUGCUGGCCAGUAAGCCAAUAAUAAACCUUUUGUUAUUCCUCAUUUGCUGCGUGGGGUCAUCCCUCAGCCCAGACGCUGCUGUUUUGCAACAAGGUCUUUUUGGUGAUAACCCCACACUUGUGGAAUUUUCUCCAUAGAUACUUUCAUUUUUAUUAGAAUUUAAAUGGACCUUGAAAACCAUCAUAUUUCAGUCUGAAUUUUACCAACACAUUGUGUAAUUUUUUUUAUAAAAAAGUUUUGUGUCAGAUUCUAUAUAUACACAUUUGAAGUGUGUGUGUGUGUGUGUGUGUGCGCGCACACGGAUCUGUAUGAUGUUGUAAGUCACCUUGGGAGCCCUAUGCUAUAAAAGGUGGAUUGUAAAUAUUUAUAAUAACUGAACAAAUAAAACUAACUGCCGGGUUACUGCAAGAAAGAUGUUGCAAAAUAAUUCUUCAGCUGGCUAGGCUGCAAAAAUAAAAUUAGAAAGAAAAUCUUAAAGAUAAGCUUGUGCUUUUAAACUCAGUUUUGCAUACAUCAAAAGGCAUGUGACCGCUAGUUUGUGAACAUAUUUGCAUAUUACAGAAAAGAUUAACACUUAUAGCACUCAUGACAGCCAGAGUUUGGUUUGGAAAGUGAAUUCCUUUUGAUCAUUUAAGCUUUCUGAUUCAGAGGCUAUUAUUAGCUAACAGGCAUGAAAAGCUUAUGAAGUGAAUGGCUCCAUAGUAUCAAUUUUGUAAAUAAGAAGAAGAUAUCUCUAUUACACACUGGUAAUCUGGCAUAUUUCUAACAAUUUUAUAAUCCAUUAAGUGGAAGAAGAAACAGCGAGAAUGUAUAGAAGAACAGUUUGCGUUUCAUGGCAGCAAAUUCGCAAGGAAAACAUCUUCUGCAAUGUCCUUCAUCUUUUAGUUAGUAUGUUGCCUUUCUGCUAUCACCAUCUUUUUCAAGGCCUUCCUAGUUCCUCAGCUUUUCUCCCAUUCAUUCACUAUAUAUGAUCAUCUAUGGGCCUAUCAAAGCCCGCAAUCCUAGGCAGUUUUACUUGGGAGUAAGUUCCCCUGAACUCUGUGGAACUUACAUCUGAGAAAACAAGCACAGGACUGGAAGGGAAAAAAAUCCAGCUGCCAGAUGCCAUGUUUUUCUAGAGCAAAAUUAAUGGCAUGUAAAUUUAGCAACACAAAAGGAAAUAUGAGUAGGAAGGAAAACUAAAAUACUAAUGUAAAUAAUAUUAAUGGGCCAAUUUAUAGUAUAUGGAUGGUGUCCUGAAUGUGGCUGUCCCAUGUAAUGCAAAUUUCUGAAUGGAGUGGGGAGGAUGCUUAAUCCUACAGCUUGUUAUUUUUGCUAUGUGGUUCAAGUUAAUAGGGUUCCUGUGCAGAGAGCCACCUACAUAAUUUAUAAUUAUGUGUUUGACUGAUUCAGUGAAUACUUAUCAUUGAAUUAAUAGAAAAGAAUGCUCUGGCAACAACUCAGAACAGGCCAAAUUCAUAAUGAAUACAGGAAGGAAUGGUUUGGCCAUGUUUAUGUGCAACACUGGGGUGGAGGUGAAUGAAAGUGUUAUUACUGAAAAGAACAGGAGCAGAAUAAAAAGCUAAUUGGAGGAGUCAUUUCUGUUUGCUUAAAUGGUGCAGCAACAAUGUAAAAGCAGCAAACAUUGCAGCAAUAAAAUUGUGUUUCAAUCUGACACAUGCAUCUAAUUCACAAGCUGAAACUCCAGUGGAAAAGAGUGGUUCAGCCAAGCUGCCCAUCUAAUACGUAGGACAACAAAUAAAUGCAAACAUACAGUAUAUGCAAAUAUAUGUUCAUCAUGUAAUCACAUAGCACAACAAAAACAGACAGCAGCAUUUGAAGUGUUAACUAGCAAAGUAAGAUGUAAACUGUAGGACAGUUGUUAAGGUUUGUGGAGUACUAUAUUAUUAAUCAAAAUACCGCAGAUUUACUGCAAAAUGCAUGGCACUUAUGAUCAAAAUGACUUGUUUCCUGUUAAGGAACAGUCUAUGUUAUGAUUACUAUAGCAGGUAGAAAGCUAUUGAAAGUAAAUUUAUGUGCAGCUAUAUUUUUCAUGAAGAUUCUUCUUGCCUUUAUAAUGUCAAAUAGCAACACUAAUUGUUGCUAUUCCCACUUCAGUCUUCAGGGCCAAUGAUCAGGUCAACAUUCUUCUCGUGUGAGGAGCAACACAUGAGAACAUCUGAAUAGGGCAAUAGUCUCAUUCAUGCAGGGCACAGCACCACUAUAGGUCCAUUUUGAAGUGGCUUGUAUUAUAGGAAUGGAAAAAAGAUAAUAAGAAAAAGGCCUGCGGGAUUAGGCCAAGUGCCCUUCUAGUCCAGCAUCCUUUGGCCAACCAGACACCUAUGGGAAACCCACAGCCAGAGCCAGAGAGCAACAGGUAACCAGAGGCAUACUUCCUCUAUCAGUGGAGGGUGAACACAGGAAUAAUGACUCGUAACCAUGUAUAGCCUUAUUCUCCAUGAAUUUGUCUAACCUCCCUUUAAAGCCACCCAAGUUGUGUGAACCCCUUGUGGAAGCACAUUCCAUAGUUUAACUAUGUGCUGCAUGAAGAAUUACGGUGGUACCUCUUGUUAAGAACUUAAUUCAUUCCAGAGGUCCGUUCUUAACCUGAAACCGUUCUUAACCUGAGGUGCGCUUUCGCUAAUGGGGCCUCCUGCUAACGCUGUGCCGCUGGUGCACGAUUUCCAUUCUCAUCCUGGGGCAAAGUUCCUAACCCAAGGUACUACUUCCAGGUUAGUGGAGUUUGUAACCUGAGGUGUUUGUAACCCGAGGUACCACUGUACUUUCUUUCUUUCUUUUAUCUAUUCUUCCAAUAUUCAACUUCAUUGGCAGCUUCAAAAACACUUAUACAAAUCUAAUGCUCAACCUUCAGAGUGAAUGAAGAGUACAAAUGAAGAGUACAAUUUGUACGUAGUAUAAAUGGAAGCCAAUUGGAUCUUAGACCUUGCAAGCAAAGAGCAUGCUACAUGCCCUAUUUACAAAUUUCUACAAAUUCAUUUAGUGAGGUUUGUUGAUGCAUUGCAAUGCCACUGUCCUUUAGAGUUUGCUGUUUCUCUAUACUGAUGAACCUGUGGUAUGUGGAACUGAAAUGUCUUGUGGGGGACCAACAUUUCAUUGCAUUGGUUUGUUUGUCAUUUUCUGCACCUUUUCUAGAUCUACAAUGUGUGUGUGUGUGUGUGUGUGUGCGCGCGCGCGCGCGCAUUGUAGUGUGGUGACCAGAACUGUACAUACAUAGUAUUCCAGGGCAAUCAACUCAUAGAUCUGCUUAGCACCGUAAUGAUAUUGGCCAUUUUUAAACUUCCUUUCCUAAUUAUCCCCAACAAGGAAAUUACCCUUUUCCCACAGCUAUGCAUUGGGGCAAAGUUUUCAUCCUGCUAUUAUUAGUAAAAAUCAGCACACGCUGCUCUAAACGGCAGUGUUGCUUUCCCCUGUGCAACAACAAAUGGGGUGAAAAGGGAAAGGAGAGUGGCUGUGAAAUAACUGUAGUCUGCAAAGAAGCUGUUAAUGAGCCACUUUGUCACCCUCUGCCUAGAAGACUAAAAAUGGAAGUGGUAGGGAGAUAACACAUUCAGGUCUGAGGGUUGUCUCCCCGGUGGCAUGCCAAUGGAACAGCAACAAAACAAUGUAAUUACAGAACGCUGAUUAUAUUCUGGAGCACAGGGUGAUAGUAACUUUGCAUCCAAACUGAUUGCUAAUAGAAGGUGUCUGAUGAUGAGAGCAGUUCUGAGCUGGAGAAAGUGAUGUACUCACCUGCAGUCUCUGGAAGAGAAAUGGACCUUCUGAAGCCAUGUGGUCUCCUCGGUUUUGAAAGGAGGGACAGGUUAAAGUCAAAAGCAUUACAGCAAUAGUAAAGGUGUCACAGCUACUUUCUCAUGAAGUUCCAGUUUUGGGAGCUGCUUUGUGUCUGAAUGCAUACAUCAUAUCUAGCAUGGAAUCCCUUUACAAAAGAGUUGCAGUCGUACCCAACUGUAUAGCAUCUCUUCCUCCUUUGAGCAAAGAUCAAAAGAGAGUUUCCCCAUAUGAUUGCAGAUAGGGAGCUGGCACAGGCUGACCUAAGAAUAAAAAAUAGAAUUUGGAGUGAUUACAUGGGCUGCAAAUUGGGACUGAAAAACUUGAUUAAUUAUGGCAAUAUGUGAAAUUAGCUAAUUAUAAGUCUGAUCUUGAUGUGUAGAGGUGUGCUGUACACCUCCACCUUCCCCAUCUCUCUUAUCCUCUCCGACAGCUUUUCUUCCACAGACACACGCCCUUUCCCCCUCCCAAAGUGACUGUGGAUUUAAUUCAUACCUUCAGGUGCUACCUCCUCCUUCAAAGUAUUUCAGGAAUAUACUGUAUAUUCAUAUAAAAUGUAAACACUUCCAAUGGAAGACUGUUACUAAACUACUAAAAAACAUGACAGUUGAUAUCUAUUUCUAAAACGUUUCAACUGCUUAAUAUAAAAAAAUCUCUGAGCAGUUUACAUAGGGAAUAUUAAAAAUACAAUCAAUAACAAUCAACACAAUUCCUAAAAGCUAAGUGAAAUCAGAACAAAACUAUCACUUAAAACUAAGCAGUUAACAAAAAAGAGAGAUAAAAAUAAACUAAUAAACUAAACUUUCUCUGUCUCGUUCUUCCUCUCUUCCAUUGUCUCCUUGUAUUUAUCUUUCCUCUGCUCUUCCCACCCCAUAGAUAGUUUGCAUAAAAUUAGGUAUUAAUUUUUUUAUUGUUUAUCAGUUCCCAUCAUUGUUAAAUGCAGUGGCAUAUUGUGGUUCGAGGACCCGAUCCCCGCAAAGUGGAAUGAAUACACAAGGACACGUGUUAUAAGGUUAAUGGGCAAGAAAAGGCCACAACUUUAUUGAUUACAGCAAGUGAAAAGGUAUUGGCUUAGGCAUUGGAUUACGUCAGCUGACUCCACCCCCUCAGAGAGGGGUGAGUCUAAAACAAGGGGGGUUUAUUCACCAGUAGGUGGAGCCUGUUGAUGCUAAUCCAACUAUAGGCUCUCCCCUGAUGUCACCGAGGGUCGUGCCAUGGCCUCCUGCCAAGCAGGCAUCGGACAGAAUACACGACCACCAGAUUCCUUUAACGGAAUACCCAAAAAUUGAAGGCAUAGGCGAUGGCCACACCUAGCCCUUCGACACACCACAACACAUUAUUCCAAUGCCUAACCUACCCACCAAUACCACGAAAGCUGUGACGAUUGCUACAAGGUAGGCGAAGAAACCAAAAGGCCUAAUGCCAAAUGGAAAAAUUCCUACCAGGCCCCCCGGACAACCAGGGCGACCAACCUAAGGUCCAUAGCAAGGCCAAGGAAAAACUAGGACCCUGAGCUCAAAGGGAGUGGAGGGUGGGUGACUCGCGACGGGGUGACGAAGAGUGAGGCCGAGGAGGGGCUGGCACCGCAGCAUUUAGGCUGCUGUACACGCCCCCUUGGAGGCACCUGGUUGGGUGCCUGCCGAUGGGCGUGGGCGCCAGCCAGGUGAGUGGGAGGCAGGGGGCAAUGCCCCCUGCUAGAGGCGGAGCUCAGCUCCCGCCCACAACCACUCCCCUCUCUUCCAGGAGGAGAGUCUUUCUCUGUAUAAUAUAAAGGGGGUUCCUCACAGCAAUUAUGGGAAAAUAAGUGCAAUGGACACUCAUUCCUGCAUGAAGAUUGAGCACAUUGAGAGAUAGUCCAAUAUGAGCACUUCUAAGAUGGGUGAUACCCGAAUAUUCUCCAGUAGUAUGCUUUUCAUGGGCCAAUUGGCCAUAUCUUGAAACUACUUUCUCACUUAUUCCCCAGUGUAAUCAGUUCACCUCCAUCUUGCCAUGCUGCCAUAUAUCCUCACUGUAUUGUAUAUCCUCACUGUAGUUGAUAGUUGUCACACAGACGGCAGAGUAGCACUAUUUUGUACAACUUUGUAUGAUUAUGUCUGCAACUGUAGCAUAAAUACAUAAUGUAAAUUUUGAAAUUCCUCUGGCAGCCUUCCAUCCUGGUUCUCAGGAGGCAUUUGGCUUCAUCCAUGGAACUCUUAGAAACUUUUUAAAAGUUGGCUCUUGAAAAGCAGUGUUUGAAAAGCACUAUUUGUUGGGCAAUAUAAUAUAUAGUAAAUUAAUGAAGUCUUCACCAUCAGUGUCUGAAGGCAUCUUCCUUUUCUCAUAGAAGAGAACAAUGUUUGUACAUUCAGCAUAAGACAAUGAUGCACUAAUGUGCAAAAGCAUUAUUUAUUGGGCUAUAUAAUUAUACAGUUUAUAUAAUUAAACCAUUGAAGCCUUAGUUCUUGCUUUCUGAAUGCAUCUUCCCUCAUAAUAGGACAAAAGUAAACAUAACUGUGCUUGUAUAUUCGGUGUAAAAGCAAAGAUGUGUUUGGUUUGACAUUGGUGUGUGUGUCUAUCUCUCUGAUUCUAUUCAAAGAGUCAAAACAAUAGACAUGACCUUCUAAAUGUGCUGGAUCUGAAAGUAUUAUCAAGGGAAUGUGGACUUUCAAAUUUUUAUUUUAAUAAGCAGGAAUUAUAUUGUAUGAAUGAGAGAACAAAGUGCUAGAGGAACAAGGUUUGUUACUUACAAAAUACAAUCUGUUAAGAACAUAAUGAUUCCAGCUAUGUAAAGAGUUUUCAUCCAUCAAUACCCCUUUCUCUGAAAGAGAAACGUUAUUCUGUAAAAUCAUCCUAUUAUGCUCAUUUGCUUUUCUACAAAGCACACAAAACCUCUACGUCUAAAACCUGAAAGCCUAAGUUGACAAAGGCUCAUAGUCAUCAGAAAACAAAAAGUUUUUGAAUUGGGUUUUCCAUAUGAAAAGCAUUGUCAUUCACUGCAGUUAUAUAGAGAGAUUUCCCAUUUCCCCAUGUUUCAUAAAAUGCACUAGCAUAGCCACAAACCCAGAGAAUGUUGGAUUGAGGGACUUGAUGCCAAUGUUUAUUUCUCUACUUGUCUUUGUUUGCUUGCUUGUUACAUUUUUAUUCCACCUUUUCACCCAAAGGUGAAACCUAAAGGGGCACCUAAAAACAGUAAAAGACCAAUUAAAAACUAAGACACGAAGACAAGUAGGUGAAAACCAAUAAAAUCAGUAAGACCAAUAGAAAACUGGCAGUGGCCAUAACAAUUCAACUGACCAUGUCAAAGCUCUGUCUAAAUAAAGGUCUUUGCCUGCCAAGGAAAAAUCAUCUGAUAAGAGGCUAGAUGGGCAUGUGUUGGCAAAGACUUCCAGAGCUGGAAAGCAGCCACCAGGAAGAUGCUCUUUUAAGUUACCAACAGUCCAUUCCUGACUGGUGGUUUGUCGUGACUGGUAUUCAGAAGUAUACUGUUUCUAACUGUGGAGAGGCAGUAUGAUUCUGAUUACCAGAUUCUGGAAACCUAUUUCUUAUUGUGAUUGUACAUCUGUGUCAAUGUCAUCUCACCCUGGACUGAGUCAGAAGAUAGGCCUCCCUCCGCAGGCCCCCAUAUUCCACACAGGAAUGCAGUGUGAAUACCAUCUAUGUUCAUAAAAUCCAAUAGAUCAGACCCAGACUAAGGCUCCAAUCCCAAUUCCACCUCCCUAGGUGUAAGCCCCAAUGAAGCAUAGAAUCAUAGAAUUGGAGAGCUGGAAGGGACCCAGUGGGUUACCGAGUUUAACCCCCUGCAAUGCAGGAACCACUACUAAAGAUUCCCUGACAGAUGGCCUUCCUACCUCUGUUAAAAAAUCCUCCAAUGAAGGAAAGUCCAAAGAAAGAGCAGCCAGUAGGACUUACUUAUGAGUAGACACAGCUACUAUUAGUAAUAGAGUGGACACACUGAAAUCAACAGGACUUAAGUUAGGUAGUCUUAUCGAUUUUAAUGGAUCUACUCUAAGUCUGACCAAGUCUGAAUUAAACCCAACAUGCCUAGGCUAAAACUGUGCAAUUGUUUCCCUUAAAAUCCAGAAAUCAGCUAUGUACCGGUACUUUCUUUGGGAAACUAUAGCACUAGCUCCAUAUGAAAGCAUCUCCACUUGUUAUUCUUCUCCUGAGUUGCCUGUCUGUGUGCCUGCUGAUCUUGCCUGCUGAUCUCUUUACGUGGCCUGUUAGUUUUACUUUAUUAGUAUCAACCCCUUGUUGCAACCUAUAUCUUGUAUUCAAGGUGGUCAUGUUGCCGCAACGGGAAAUGUAAUUUUGUUUUGCUUUGUGGUUCUUCCAGCUGCACUAGAUCAAGGGGAGACUAAGGUGUGUCAGGCCUGGAACUGAUUGCAUUAGCAGUUCUGAAAUCAUAUCAGAGGCGACCUGACAUACACCUGACAAAACUAGGUACAAAAGAGGAAGAAAAAGUUUUAGAGAUUAAUGAUGGAGUUACUGAUCUGGAUAUUUUACUGAGCAAGCUAGGCCCAAUCCAUAUUGCAAGAAUAUGAUGGAAAGUAUGUGGGCACAGAAUCAUAGAACUGCAGAGUUGGAAGGGAAGAAGAGUUUGGAUUUGAUAUCCCGCUUUAUCACUACCCGAAGGAGUCUCAAACCGGCUAACAAUCUCCUUUCCCUUCCUCCCCCACAACAAACACUCUGUGAGGUGGGUGGGGCUGAGAGACUUCACAGAAGUGUGACUAGCCCAAGGUCACUCAGCAGCUGCAUGUGGAGGAGCAGAGACGCGAACCCAGUUCCCCAGAUUACGAGUCUAUCGCUCUUAACCACUACACCACACUGGCUCUCUCACACUGGAAGGGACCCCGAGAGUCAUCUAGUCCAACCCCGUGUAAUGCAGGAAUCUCAGCUUAAGCAUCCAUGACAGAUGGCCAUCCAACCUCUGCUUAAAAACCUCCAAGGAAGGAGAGCCCACAACCUUCUGAGAGAACCUGUUUCACUGUUGAACAGCUCAUACUGUCAGAAAGUACUUCCUGGUUUUUAGUCAGAAUAUCCUUUCUUGCAACUUGAAGUCAUUGCCUAGAGUCCUACCCUCCAGAGCAGGAGAAAACAAACUUGUUUCAUCUUCCAUGUGACAGCCCUUUAUAUAUUUGAAGAUGGCCAUCAUAUUUCCUCCCAGUCUCCUCUAAACAUACCCAACUCCCCCAACCAUCCCUCAUCAUCUUGGUUGCUCUCCUCUUCACACAUUCCAGCUUGUCAACUUCCUUCUUAAAUUGUGGUGCCCAGAACCUUGGUCUGACCAAAGCAUAAUAGAGCAGUACUAUUACUUCCCUUGGUUGGACACUAUACUUCUGUUGAUGCAGCCUGGCAAUACCAGGUGAAAUCUCAGAAGUGUUGCCAAAUGGCAAAGCGCCGUGAAACCUGUCAUUGUUUGCUUCAUGGUUGCUGAUGUUCUUUUUCCAACUGGAAAUUUCCAUCAGCCAUCUUGGGAGGGGGAUACAAAUUGGGACUAUAGUGUGUUCUUGAUGAAAAUGUCCACCCAAAGGUGCCAAAGCAGCAGGUCAGACUUUUGGGAGCAAAUAGUAGGCAUUUGUCAUUUUCAUCAUGCAAUGCUAAGCCCCUCUCCCUGUGUGGCAGUCCCAAUCAUGAUCCCUCUCCUCCUGUAUAUGAGAUAUACUGUACUAAGUGGUAGAUUUCAGCCUCUUCCCACACUUUGGUUUAACCUGGCUUUCUUCCUCUCCUUGCCCCUCACCUCCAUGUACAGUACUGCAGGUUUUUUUAUUUCUGUAUAAUGAGACUAAGUUGGAAGGAAGAGAUUUCUCUGCAUUAGAUUCCUGUUAUUAUGUUAAGCAACACAUUGACACUUGGGAGUGCUGGAAAGAAAUAAUGCUACCAGAAUGAUUUUAACACCACAUUCUUCUCUUUCCCCCAUUUUUAAAAUAAAAAAAAUACCCUGACACAUAACUGUCUUUCACAUAAUGAUAAUGUCCCCACUUGCUCAGUUCACUUUCCUGAAUCCCCCAAUUUAUUUUCCUGGUUGGAGUCUGUGUCUGAAUCCAAACGUGACACAUCCCGUGGGUCCCUACAGAGUUAAGCCAUAAUAAAUACUGCUUGCCUCACCUGAUUUGCAUGGAAUUGACAUUACACCUCCUAACUUGAGUAGGAGGGUUUUUGGUUUGCUUUCUUAAAAAAGCUGUGAGAGAUUUGGGCUGUGAGAUUCCCAUUAAUGUCAGAAAGAAAAAUAUAGCUACAAUUCCGUGCAGCUCUCUUGACAGGUUUACACGGUGCCAUCACGUCUGUCUUUGCUCUUUGCCGGAGUCCUGUCAACAUUGUUUUGAGGAAUCCAAGCUGGAAAAGACAGUGAAUAAGGACAGCAGACACACAGGGGCACAGAUUACACAUAAAGAGUGUAGCCUGCCCGCCCCAUGCGAGAUGCUAACCAAGAAGGGCCAAAUCACAGUGGGAGACUGCAUGGUUUUUAAUGUAGAUGGUCUCAGGUUCAGUCCCUAGCUUCUCCAGGUAGGAAUGAAACCUUGGAGAAUCACUGCCAGCCAUUGCCAACAAACAAUACUAUCUUGAUGGACCAGAGGUCUGACAGUACAAGGCAUUGUUCUGUGUUCCAAAGUCACUAUUAAAUUACAGUGGACCCUCAGGAUAUGAACUGAAUUCGUUCCGGGGGUCCUUAUGUACCCCAAAAAGUCUGCAGCAUGAGGCGCCACUUCUGCACAUGUGCACGGUGCAAUAGAGCGCUUCUGUGCAUGCACGAGGCGUGCACAGUGAUUCUGUGCAUGUGCACGUGGCAAAACCCAGAAGUAUUGCCAUGUUCGCAACCCGAAAGUUACGUUACCUGAAGGUAACGUAACCCGAGGGUCCACUGUAGAGAGAAUUAGUGUCACACAGAAUUUUUUGUGUGUGUUGUUAUUGUUUUUACCAUUCUCCACCAAUGUGGAAAUCAUCAAAGGGGCAAGACGACCUUCCUUCCAGUGUGGCCAAGGAGUGUUUAGGAAUGUUGUUUCAUUCUUUCUCCCUAGUGAUCCACAACCCUCCUGAAUGCCCUCAUUUCCUGAAAAACCUCAGCUGUAAACAUGGGGGAAGGGAGAGGCUGUGCACUUGGCAGCUGUGCAAAAUAAAUCAAUUGUGUCAGAAAGUGCAAAUGAAUAUUGGAAUGGAUUGAGGCAGGUUGGUACAUUCUGAGCCCUCUUACCCACCUCUUUAGUCAAAAACAACAUCCUGGUAACAUAGAUACAAUUUCAUACAUCCAGUGUUCUGCUGGAUAUUUAAAGCUAGAGCCACAAUUCUAAGAACAAAGAACCACUUGUUUUAAUACAGUGUUUUAAUGUUGUGAUCUGUUGUUCACCUUGGGGUGAAGGGCAGGUAAUAAAAUGAUAAUAGCAAUAAUAAUUGUGUACAGGAAGCAUGUGAAAAUGAAUUCUUGACUAGCAAAAGGGAAAGGAGAGAUGGAGGGAAAUGUAACAAAUGUGGCGAGAGGAUUUUAAGUGAUCAAGGUUGUAGAGUUGUGUUGGGAGUGGGAAUCACUGCAGCCUGCAGCAUAGUAAAAAAAGCACACAACAGUAACUCCCACUUCUGUGUUAUGACCCAGAGUGCUGAAGGAAAUAUUGUCAAAAGUUUAGACUCAGAUAAAUUCAUUUCCCGGCUUGUGCAGGUGCAGGGAGAUUCCAGAUUAAGGAGUUCAGUGUCAACUUUUAUUUUCUUUGCAAAAGAAAAAAAGUAAAUAAUAUAUUUAUUGCUAAAAGCCAUAGGCCAAGGCAGAAAUAGGAAAAGAACCUUGUUUAAUUUUAAGAUUGUGUCACUAGAGGAGAAAACAUUAUUAUAGCUGCAAUGGAGAUAACUGUGUGUAUUGCUCCAGGCACCUUGUGGAGCUUUGUUUUGCACAUAGCAGUUUAUGGCAGCUAUCCCCAACCUGGUGCUCUCCCUGACUAUUGGCCAUGCUAACUGGGGCUGAGGAGAGUUGCAGCCAAAAUCACCCAGAGGGCCAUCUAGCAACUUCCUUUGACAAACUAUGGGAACUUUCCAAAACAAUUUCUGCUGCAGCAAUGGGAACCUGCUGAACCAAGAAAACGAGUCCCUCUGGUCGCGUGCAAGGCCUCAGGAUCCAUUUAUGGUCGUUCUCUGACUUGUGACCAAUAAGUUUUCCAGUAAGAGCUCUUGAGGGAGAAAAGAUGCCUGCAUGAAAGAUUCAUAAGUCCUUGUUUCUAUAAUGUAUCCUGUAUCCAUUAAGAACCAUUUCUAUAAAUGCUUUCUUACCCUCCCUUCCUUUGACACUCUGUAUUGUUUGCUUUAUGAACGUAUCUUGGCAAAGAAAGAAACAAAAAGCACAGCUGACUGAACUCGCAAGAUUGUUGCAUAGCAAUUUAGAGGUGGAAAGGAAAGCAUCCUUUGCAUCUGAGCUGCUCACUUCAGAGCACAAGGCCAUCAGGGAAGUGGGGAGCCACCUGCCAUUUGAAGGCCUUGAUAUGAAAGAGUUCUCCACAAUAAUCAAGCGGCCUUGGGUCUCUCUACCCUGCUUUUAUUAAGCAAGUACAAAGACACAGGGAAAUGGAAGCAGCGUUUCUGGCCACUGGGCAUAAGCUGGUGAUAGAAAAAACAUGAAUGGUGUUUGUGCUUAUUUGAAAUGGUAGCAUUAUUUCUACAGAGGAAAAAGUUGCUGCUCGGAGACAAAACUUUAUACUCACCAGUUCUUUAUAUGCCAGUUUCACAAGCUUUCAGUGUUGACUCCAGAUAUAAAAAGGGCCCUUGGCAGAAGUGGCUCACACUCUAGCUUCCUGGCCAUGGCAUUGUGGCCACUUACUGGGAUGGUGAAGGGCUGUGUGGGUGCACUGGCUGGAGGGCCACAUUGGCUCUGCCACCCACACGGCCCUGGCCUUCCUAUUACCUCCUGCCUCUUCACCCUGGUAAACAGUACCAAUGCCAGGAAGCUAGCAUUGUGACUCCUCCCCACCUCAUGAGCCACUUCUGGACCUGGAGCAAAAAAAUGGGCCAACUUGCCCCACCCUCCCUCAGUGAAUCAAUAUACAAGUUGAUAGUUCUAGCCAAAUGCCGUGACAAACAUGCAGCAGCAGUACAAAUAAAACAAUACAGACAACAAGACAUUCAUAAUAUGAGCCAACAUCUAUGAUAAAAGAGAGAAGUUACCAGAGAUUCCAACAAACUCAAAUCCAGCUUCAUUUCAAGUUAAACCUCUGAAUCACCACAACAAUUUAUAGCAAUUUCAUCUAACUCCUCCCCCCCCCAUCCAGUUGCCUAGAGGGGCCAUCCUUUGUGUUAGAAAACUAUUGUUGUCACUCAAAAGAAACUAGGCUAUUUCUGCUGGAGUUUGCUUGUGCAAACAAAAGUGUCAGAAAUUGAUCUCUUGGGUCUCUAUGUAAGGGGCAGGCUGGUGUCUUCCACCUGAUGUUGGCCGCAAAUACAAAGUAUGUACAGGACCUUGUAGUAGUGGCCAUCCAAGACUGCCAUGGGCAUCACUUGGAAACACAGCUCAAUAAAGGCCUUCGGGAAACUGGUGAGAGUUUGGUCAGAUAAUUAGCUAUAAAAUGCCCUGUUCUCAGAAGUGGAUAUCAAGGAGGAAAGUGGGUGUUUCUAAUUAGUUGCAGGUCCCUUCUGAAUUCUAUCCAGAAGAGCCAAUCCCUUUGUUGACACUUUGUUGUUGUUUAGUCGUAUAGUCAUGUCCGACUCUUCGUGACCCCAUGGACCAGAGCACGCCAGGCACUCCUGUCUUCCACUGCCUCCAGCAGUUUGGUCAGACUCAUGUUUGUAGCUUCGAGAACACUGUCCAACCAUCUUGUCCUCUGCCGUCCCCUUCUCCUUGUGCCCUCUAUCUUUCCCAACAACAGGGUCUUUUCCAGGGAGUCUUCUCUUCUCAUGAGAUGGCCAAAGUACUGGAGCCUCAGCUUCACGAUUUGUCCUUCUAGUGAGCACUCAGGGCUGAUUUCCUUAAGAAUGGAGAGGUUUGAUGUUCUUGCAGUCCAUGGGACUCUCAAGAGUCUCCUCCAGCACCAUAAUUCAAAAGCAUCAAUUCUUCGGCGAUCAGCCUUCUUUAUGGUCCAGCUCUCACUUCCAUACAUCACUACUGGGAAAACCAUGGCUUUAACUAUACGGACCUUUGUUGUCA